UUUUUUUUUUUUUUAUGAUUAAAAGAAUGAUACUAUUGGCACCCCUCAAAAAUUCUUAUGAAACUCCUCUACUAUGUAUUUACACAUUUAACUUUGUUGAAAUUACAAGAACUCUAAUUCAAAUAAAAAAGAAAUUGUAAAAACUCCUUACAGCCCUAUAUUACCCCAAAAAAAAAAAAAACAAGCCAUAAAACAAUAAACCUAAGCAAAAGAGGCAUAAAUGCAUUUUUCUAUUACCCGCAGAAUUAGCAAUCAAAGGGGUAUUUAAUACUUAUAGUUAGUCGUGGUGGCUUAUUUUUUAAAGUUUGUUUACAGGUUAUGAAAAACUCUGUUUAUUGAGUUUGAUAUCUAGCUGAAUGUUACUACUGGUCAUGAGAUUUGUUUAAAAAAUUAUUUCAGGGUUCAAUGAGAAGGAAGAAGGUAGGACUUUUUGAUGAAUUAAAAUGAUGUUAUUAGUAUAAGAGUAAUUUUAGUACUUUAAUUAAUAUGUGCGCUCGAAAAAGGGGUUUUACGAGAUUAUUUGAGUGGUACUAAUAGCUCCACUCAUGAUUAAAAUACUCUUAAAGUAAAUUACAAUUAUACAAUUAAAAAUAUAAUUUUUUUUAAAAAAAAAGAAUUUUUGCUCAUUGUACCCAUCUUUUCAUUCAUCAGCGCUGUCAACAUACUCAUUGAGAAGUUUCAAAAUAAUUUCCCUGCAUUCGAUCUGUAAAAAGUUACUUCUAAAGGCUGUGGCUUAUUUUACGUUGGUGAUUUUUCCAUGGUUCUGCUGGCACUUAAAGAUGUAAUUAGAGAUGUAAGGAUGGAGUAUCGAGGACAAGAAAGGUCGCAUCUCACAAAGCUCAGAAUAAACGGUUUGCCCAGUACUUCCCUUUAUGGCUCUUGAAUUGUCAAGAUAUGGCUAUAGUUUCGAAUUGUGUAGCAAUGAAUUUUCUUUUGAAAAAAAUAUAAAUAAUGUGAAGGAUGAAUUUUUACCUUAGCUAUAUUUUUCUGAAUCACGUUAAUAAAGAAAAUCUUUAGUUUAAUGUAAAAAAAGAAUUUAUUAAGAGUUUAUAAAUGAAUUUAAUGGGUUUGCUUAGUAGAAACACUAUUAUUACAAAAAUUGAGUUUGAAGAGUAUAUUGGGUACUUUAAUAGGUUUAUUGAAUAAAAUUUAAAAUUUCAAAAUUUGAGGGUGGGUUUAUUUAAUAAAUAAGUUUACUGAGUAAUUUAGUAAGUUCAAAUAGUCAUACCCAACAACUAAUUACUUAAUAAUUAAUGGAUAAUAUUCAAGUUCAUGGAUAUAAUUUUACUUUUUAUAAUUCCAUUAAUAUUUUAUAAAUCACAAAUAAAAUUAAAAAUUAAAUAUGCAAAUAUAUAAAUUAAUUUAGAUGUGAAAAUAACAAAUAUGGAUUAUUCAAUCAAUAACACAUGUUAAUUCAGACACGUGUUUUCAUUUAUAAUUGGGACAAUAUAAUUUUGACUUCUUAGUUUUAUUCAUUGCCUUUUUUUUAUUUUCUAAAAUUACUCAUUGGUGAAGAUUGAAUUGAAUUAUUGUUGCAAUUUUUAUUAAUCUAGUAAAUUUUUGUUGACAAUAAGAUAAUAAUAAUAAGAUAAACUAAGAUAGAGUUGUGUUAAUAUUAAAAUACAUAUAUUUUCAAAGGAAAUAUAGAAGUAUCAACAGACUAUACUUGUUUCUUUUUAUUAUUUAAUCUUUAAAAAACAUGUUUAACAGAUUUGAUCAUUAGUAAAUUUAAAUUUUUAAUAAAUUGAAAUUAAAAUAUUAUCCUAAUUAAUUUUUAAUUUUAUGAACAGUUGGUUAAAUCUAAUGGUAAAUAUUUAUAUCACUAUUGAUGUUGUUAUUUUUAUAACAGCAUCAUGAAGUGACCAUUUAAAAAUAAAUAUUAAUAAAUAUUAAAUUUAUUAAAACGUCAUUUAAGCUUUGUGUACUACUACCGAAAAUAGAUUUUGAACUAUAUGAGUCUUUUAGUUCAAGUUUCAUACCUCUUAGAGUUCGUUUCAGAUUAUUUUUAAAGGCUCAAAAGUGAUUUUAGAAAGUUAAAAAUUAAUUUUGAUAUUUGGUAAAUUUUUUUAAAAAUCACUUUUGGUAAAAUCACUUUAUCUAUAGCAGAUUUUGAAUAGGUGGGAAGGAGAAAAUUUUAAAAUCUGAUUUUUAUAAUAAUUUUUAUACUUAAUACAAUUCCACAGAUAUUCUCAUAUAUAUUAUAAAAAUCUAAAAUUAUCCUUAUUAAUUAGGAAAUAAAAUCAUUAGCUUUAAAGAGAUUAUAAUUAUCAAUUAUAUUAAGAUAACAAAAUAAAAAAUAAAAAUAAUAAUAUAAAAUGUUUAUUCUAGUUAAUCAAGUAUUAUAUGUACACAAUCAAAAAUAUUUUAUAUACAUUUGUAUAAAUGUGUAAAUAUAUUUUAUAAAAUAUUAUAUCCAAUUCAGUAAUUUACAUUCUUAUUUUACUUUAAUAGUAAAAAUUUACCAAACACAAACAAUUGUUUUUAAGACUUACAGUGCUUUUUUAAAAAAUAAAUUUUAUCAAAUAUUUAACUGAUUCUUUUCACAACUAAUUAUUUCUAUAGAACAACUAACAUUACCAAACUAGUCCUUCGUAUUUCUACCACCGUAAGAACUUUACCCCUUAUAUCUGUGUGAGUAAAAUUAAAACAGACCACAAGCGUCAAUUAGAUCAUUUAUUAAAUUGCAUUUAGUUAGAGAAACCUUGGUACAUUGCAUCAUUGUGUAACUCACAUCAAUCUAAAAAUUAUUUAAAAUAAAUUAAAUAUCUUUCAGUUUCUGAUAUUAUUAAAUUAUAAAACAUUGAUAUAAAUUACAGAAUUAAAUAACUGAGCCACACCCUCAUUUGGAGAUUCAUGUGAAUCCGAUACUGCAGCUUGAAAGGGCACGCCGACCAUCUAUCCACAGUGAAGAUGGUAAGUCGUUUGCCCACGGCCACGGGCCAUGAUAAGAAAGUUGACAUGGUCUGGCCUCAGAGAGCUACUGAAAUGCACACAAUCAGACGCGUCAAAAUGUGGAUCACAUUCAUCAUACUUGGCGCUUUAUGCCCCUUUGAUCAUCAAAGGUGAAAGUAAAACCAAAUCACAUGAAAAGCUCAUUUCUAUGAAAAGAACUAAAAUAGCUGAAUGCAACAAAGGCAGAAAACACUCUUUACAUAAUAUUUUUUUUAUGGAAAGAUUACAUCCUCACUCCAAAUCUAAUAACCUCCACAAUUUCUUCCAAUAAAUUAUUACAACGGGAAAGCCUAACCCUCUGGUUUGAGGACCACCUCCGUUGUAGCUUCGUCCUCUUCCUCUAAUGUCCAUUUGAAGGUCGGAACACUGCAUAGCCAUUGACCCCACAUGCCAUAUUUGAAUACUCCGGGUGAAAAAAUGGGUAGCCCUCGCCCUCUGUGUUUCUCAUGCCCAUUAAAGAUAGAUCUGAACCAGGCAUCGGCCACAUGGUUGGAAUCAUCCCAUCAAUCUGGCCAUUUGAAUAGGGCAGAGCAGUAGCUUGAGGAAUAAAUUCCCUUACAGAGUCAAAAUGGCCAACAGAAGAGCUAUAACCCCUUUGGAACCCAUCAUCAUGGUAACUCCGUGUACGCUCAAACUUACAUGAGCCAGCAGAGGACCCAAUGUCACUUGACAUGCUGAUAUCACGGGGAAAAGAGAACUGCCGAUUUAAUGUGUGCGGCCCAUUGCUAAGAGACUGCAGAACUGUGCUUGCCCCAGCAGCCAUCCCAACACCAUGCUCAUCAUCAAGCAAGUCAUUGAUGAUAUCAAGGUGUGGGAACUCGUCCACCAAAACACCUUGGGUUUGACGUCCAGAUGUACCGGCUGGAAACUCAUUCGAGAAGUACUCCUGGGAUCCACUUGGGACACGCUUAUAUAGGUCAAGGUUCUGAAUGUCAUUGGCCAUGGAAGAAGGAUCAGAAUGCACGAUUCUACUGGCAUCCCUUUGAGAACUCUCUAUCCACUGGUGUCCACUCUGUAAAACAUCCCGAGUUACCAUGCUAAAAGGAAAGGCCGACUGGACCGAAUUUGGGUCAAUCCUUUCAGAGUUCUGGGGUAAAAAAAUAGGUGCAGAUACCAAGGCCUGCUGCUGUGAAUACGCUGGUGAUGGGCCCAAACUUGAAGAGUUGGGAUGAGUUAAGCCAGGUGAACUUGAACCAACAGGAUUUCCCAUUUUAACAUUUCUAUAGGACUGAGGAAUAUAACCAUGGGUAGCAGGUGCGAGGUCAGGACCUAACCGGCCAGCUGCACUAACUGAACGGGCAAGUAGCGGGGCUGUAUGCACCACAGAAACAACAGGAGCAGUUGGCCUAGGACCAGGGACAAGUGGAGCACUAGAGGGCCUCGACAUAUUAGGCACUUGCGGAUCCAUAAGUUUUUCAGUCGGUUUUGAAGCUGCAGCCUUCUGGAUCUCAGGUUUGCAAACACCUGCACCAGGGGAUGAAGUGCAGGAUUCAGCAACUUGAUCAGUCUGCUGUUGCCCAUUUGAAAGUGAUUUCACUUGCGGAACAGGAUCUGCAGUAGCAAUGCUCUUUGGCACUGAUUUCAAUUGCACAGGAGACUGCAGAUUUCUAGGAGGGCUUCUUGGGGAGGAUGGUACAGCUGCUGUCUUCUCUUUAGGUCUUUCUGUAUCAACCGGGUCUUUCAUGCUUGAUUUCUUUUGCGGUGAAGAAGCUUCUUCCUAUUAAACAAAAAAGAAACAAUGUAAAAAAUAAAAGCUCCACAUGAAUGUGUGGAAAUGACCAUUAAAUGAUAAAUUAAAAUCCUUAUAGAUUAAAAAUCCUUAGAGAUUAAAAAGAAAACAUUUCUUUUUUACACAAUACAGUCAUAACAAAAUUUGUAUAAAAUCCUCAAAUAAAUGGACAUGCUUCUAAAACAGUACCUUGAUUGACAUACAUAUUUGCAAUCGAAGUGUCUCAGAGAUCAUAGUUAAUCGUAUCUAUUUUUACCCCCAAAAAAGAGGAAUAAAUAGGACUCUGCAAAAUUACUUGCAUAUUUUCCUCUUAAAAAAAAUGAAAAUAUAACAAAACAAGAAACUAUUUUCCUAGGUAAUAUAACCCAAACAACUGCAUAGCCAGAACUACAUACAAUCAUAGAAAUCAGUCAAGUAAAUAAAGAAACUAAAAAGUGAAUAAAAACUUUCAUGCUUAUGAGAUGCUUUGAUUGCUACUAAAUACUUUAGAAUUCUCACCUACAAAAAUAUCUGAGAUUGGAGUUAAGAGCUGCAGUAACUCACCUUAGCGACAUUCUGUUCAGGCAAUUUUGCCUGAUGCUGCAAGGAAGAAACAGCCUCAGACUCGUAUUCACCAGACUUACUGCUUUCGGAGAUAUCAUUGUGUUCCCCUGCAUCAGCAGCAGGCCUAGAUGGCUGAUUCUCUGUUUCAGUUGCCCAAACAUUUCCAUCAUAUGUAGACUUCCCCCGCUGGUUCUUCCCCCUACAAAUUACACAAGCCAAAUCAAAUGAACAAAGAAUAUUCUCUUAUCGUGCCAAAAACAAAUAGAUAAAUGUAGGCGGUAUGUUUACCUGCUGGGCGACUUUUGAUUUUGGUAGUUGGCAAGGGAAUUCCCUUUAUAGGGCCCAUACAUUACCACUGAUGGGACUGAGUCGGUAGAACAUGUGGAGGAACUAUCAUCCAUUACAGAUGCGUUCCGUUUUUCAGUUACUCCAUUAGGUACAGAUGAUAGAUUACAAACUCCACUGCUGCUGGCUUCUGUGGGAGGAAUAACUUCAGAUGCAUCAGUAUCCCAAUUGACAGGGCUAGUAUCUCUGUCCUCUGAAUCAGGCUGAAGUACUUCUGCACCACCAUCCACUGAAUCAGAAACAUCAGAAACAUCUUCCAGCACAUCAGGCUUUUCAGGCAAUGGUUGGGCAUCCUCUACAAUGAAUUCUUUUUUCUCAUUACUAGGGUUUUCAUCUUCAAGCCUGUCUGAGAGAGCCAUGCUGGACCUUUCCUCCCUCUUUUUCUCUUUCCCUUUGCGAUUGUUCCGUUUUUGUUUAGCCUACGAUAUACAAGAAGAUAAAAUUCAGCAUUGCCCCCACCGAAAAAAAAAGGGCAAUCCAUGUGAAAUCGAGGAAAUUGUGAGAGAGUGAAAAAACUGACUAUUCUUCACUAGAGUGCAGAACUGCACAAAAAAUAGAAACACAUACACAAUGCAAGAACAAACAGAAUAGCCAAAAAGACACAGGAGUAAAUAAAUAUAAUUGAGAAGGCAAGUAGCUAGCUUUAAAAGAGAAAAAAAAAAUGAAGAAUAUCAGCAAAUCAUUUGUCGCAGAUCAGGUGAGAUGGCCGAAACAGAGAGAAUGAUUGAUGACAACCACCUUAUAAACACCUUCUUUUGCCCUAAACUCCCACGUAAUAAUUUGUAACAAACAAGUUGAAUUAGGAGGUAAAAAUUUCCAAUACCCCUAAAAAAUUUUAGGCUUUGCAAAAUAUCAAAACUGCUUUCUCAUGAUUUCACCACGUGGGCUGUCUAACUCUAGGCCCAAAAGACGUGCAUAUAUUAGGUUAUAUAGGUUUGAGUCUUAACGCAACUGGUGAUAGGAUGUCAUACCAGCUUUUUCUUUGCUUUCUUCUCCUUUUCAGCUGCUCCACGUUUAGCCUUCUGCUCACUUUCAGCCAGCCAUGCUGCCUCCUCUUCACGAAUUAGCUCUUCUUGUCUCUUCAGCGCAACAGCUUCCUGGUAAGCAACCUCAAUUUUAUUGCUGUAUGUAAAGAUGAAAAAAGUUAGGAGUAUGGAUAGUGAUAAGCAGUUACCGUGUCAUAAUUAAGCUACAGCCUCAAAAUGAUAACAAAUCACAUAUCUAUUAAACAUAGUACCUGAAUAUAUGGGCAAGGACAAAAAUCUCCACUGUUCUACGCCCCAGCUCUGUGAGUCUCCUUUCAUCACGCUCAAUUGAAUCCUUGUUAAAGUCCUCCCCAGAGUUACUCUCCUAAAAACAAAUAGGUAUGGAUGGGUUACUAAGCAUUAAAUGAUUUAAAAGAGAAAAACUUAACAUACUUCUGUGCAAACCAAGCAUGUGAGAGUGUGAGAGCGUGUGUGUGUGUGAGAGUGAGAGUGAGAGUGAGUGAGAGAGAGAANNNNNNNNNNNNNNNNNNNNNNNNNNNNNNNNNNNNNNNNNNNNNNNNNNNNNNNNNNNNNNNNNNNNNNNNNNNNNNNNNNNNNNNNNNNNNNNNNNNNNNNNNNNNNNNNNNNNNNNNNNNNNNNNNNNNNNNNNNNNNNNNNNNNNNNNNNNNNNNNNNNNNNNNNNNNNNNNNNNNNNNNNNNNNNNNNNNNNNNNNNNNNNNNNNNNNNNNNNNNNNNNNNNNNNNNNNNNNNNNNNNNNNNNNNNNNNNNNNNNNNNNNNNNNNNNNNNNNNNNNNNNNNNNNNNNNNNNNNNNNNNNNNNNNNNNNNNNNNNNNNNNNNNNNNNNNNNNNNNNNNNNNNNNNNNNNNNNNNNNNNNNNNNNNNNNNNNNNNNNNNNNNNNNNNNNNNNNNNNNNNNNNNNNNNNNNNNNNNNNNNNNNNNNNNNNNNNNNNNUAUUUAUAUCAAACUAUUGUAAUGUAACAAAUAAAGCUUGAAUUCAGCAUGUUAAAUGCAAUCUCAACCAUCCAAAAAAUAUAAUUCAAUAAUUCAAAAUAUAAAUAUGCCACAACAGUUGAUUCUAACUUACAGAAACACCAGAAAUUGACCCCCCAAAAAAAAAGUUAUUGAUAAAAAACUAAUGAAUUUCAAUAGAACAUAAUAGAGACAAUUACAAGAUGAGAAGAUGGUGAUUAUAAAAUAGAACAACAUAACAUCUAUUUCCAGGAAAUUCCAAAUCACUCUAAAAGGCAUACAUACUAAUGUUUUGAGGUGGGCAAUAUAAAUCCCUUUUUCUCCAUUCAGUUUACAAGAGGGCCGUGUCCUCUAUUUCUAUAGGAUGCACACAAUGUCAUUAUAGUGCUACGAGCCCAAAAUACCAAGUAUGAGAGCAGAGAUAAAAAGAGAUAGCAAGACUUAUAUCACCAAUUUCACAAGCCUCGCAUAAGGAGCAAGCCAUCAAUCUAUGCCUAAGGAUGCGGACCUAUUAGAAACUACUGCAUUAUAAAUAUGAAUCUAAAUUUCCACCACAAAAAAAGUUUUCUUAUUCAAAAAUUAUGUUAGCAAUGUCAGGCUUACCCAAAGCAUUUUGGGAUGAAUAGCCUUAAGCUUAAGCAUUAUGUAAGGAAUGUAAAUGAGAAUGGAACCAAGCCUGUAGUACCAUACUAAGAAAGUUGAAGGAAGAAAUUCCUUGGAAGGGUGUACAGAAGAGGACAUUAUGAUAACAAGAAUCUCACCAUUGUCGAUAGCAAGAGCCUCAUACUACUACCACAUUACCAACAUAAAUGCUGCCCUCAUCACCACAACCACCUAAAAACCUAUAUUAACAUAACCCAACCUAGAUGGCUACAACUUAAAGCACAAUGUCAUCCUAAACUUCAGCUUUGAAUGUAACAUUGCAUGAUCAGUGUCAUCGGUUCAUAUUUCUGAAGUUUCCAGCACAUUAACUAAUUGGAAAUUGCUAAGAAGUCAUUCAAACAAAAAGUGCACCGAUGUAACUAAGAAACCUUAUUAAGGCAGGCCAAACUUCACAGCUACUAUUAAAAUGGUUAAACUGAAUCAGACAACCCAAGCACAGUACUAGCUCAUACUAGCCAGACGAAGGCAUAACCCAAGUAUCACAAUAAAAGAAGUUCAACGUAUAAGAUCUCACCUUUGUACGAUUCUGAGGACCCUUCUCAUCUUUAGGUGGCAGAGGCUCUAAAGCAGCCCUCUCUAACAGUAGCAGAACAUCAUCCACCAAGACAAACAUAUCAUUCUCAACAUGAACAAUAGGAGGUGGUGUAUCUUCUGCAUCUAACAACUUUGCCUUUGUUUUCUUGGACUUAGACUGUCCUUCAAGAGCCUUCAAUCCACUAUACAAGGAAUCCAUUACCAAAGUAGAUGUGACUUCCUUCUCUAUAAAAAAGUGUUUCACAACUACUUUCAGAAUUGCAUCUGUUUUCUCUCUAGACAUACGGCGCCUGGCAUUCUGGUCAAUUCCCAACCAGAAUGCACAGAAGCUGAAAUCAUCACAAGUGAUAUGAUAUUAGUGCCAACAGAGCAGUAACCAGAUAUGCAAGAAUAUAUGCAGAUCAAGUCAGGUCAUAUAUACACAGUAUAAUGUCAUGCAUCUUCAGAAGAACCAUACAAAAAUUGAAAAAACAAUUUCAUUACCCUAUCUUCCAAAAGUGCUUUAUUAAGCAUUGUUAACAGAAUAGUCAGCAGUUUAAGUUGACAAAGGUAACAAUAUAAUACUUGCCUUGACCACCUAGCUUUAUCCUCUAUUAACCUUCCAAGUUUCCCUCGCCUUUCUUCUACAAAACGCCGACAUAUUUGCUCUACAUUAGUCAAAUAUACCCUAACAAGUUCUCUCCUGUACUGACAAUCAAGGCAACGAAAAGGGCGAUCUGUUUUCUCCCUACAAACCAAAAAGCAAAAUAUUAAAGUAUUUAUUGAAAUAGACUACAUUGUAAAUAACAUUCUUAAGAAGUAAUAGAGCAAAUCUUUUCACAAAAAAGAGCAAAACCAAAGAAUCACUACUCAUAAAAGCAACUUAUCAGAUAUCACUGAGGACUUGAUAGAUUAAGGAUAAGCUAAGCAGCGAAAAACAUUUUAUGGCCCAUUGGUACAGUCUAGUUGGACGAAACACCAACAGAGAAAAGAGAUUCCAUCAUUUAGUCAAUAUGUACCUGAUGACUUGAACUUGAGCUUUUAUAAUGAGAGUAUCACCAUCUUUAAACCCAUCAGAAACUUUUGAGAGCUCCAUAAACUUUUUCCAGCCCCAGUCAUGCUCUUUCUUCCAAAAUCGAUGUAAAGUAUCUGCAGGAUUUUACAUUUUGUCACUCAUAAAUCAAGAAGGCACUCAUUUUACAUCUACUGAAGUAAUUUUCAACCAACCAACCAGAAUAUUUGGAUUUCUUUGGAUCUCUAUUCACAACGGCUAUUGUAAACUGAGCAAAAUGACUCCAACCUGUUGAUGAACAGAGAAAGUUUUUAUUUAAAAGAAGACAAAUGUAAAGAUUCAAGAAAUAAUUCGAUACCAGUUUAUAAUAUCAGACCUGGAAGGAGUUUGUCAUGGUUGGCAACACAGAGGAACAAAGAUAGAUGAUUGCAAACAUCACAGCCUUGUGGAUAAAUCAGAAUAUACCUGUCACCACAGGAAAAAGGUUAAAUCAUAAAUGUGACAACCUUUAAACAUACAGGAUGGGGGGCAUAAUCUAAUAAUAUAACACUUAAAGAUAAUAAACUAAUGACUUUGCGCCGAGAAUGUAAAGUUCACAAAUGUAAAUGAAACAGCUGAAAAUUUACUGUUAAAAUUUUCAUCACUCCUAAUAAAUGAUUAAAUAUAAUUAAAUAUAUUUACAUACAACUGGACAUACACAUGAUAUCAUGAAAUCUCCCUCCAACAGCACCGAAAUAAGAAUAUCUGAACCAUCAAAACAUUGACUUUUAACAUAUCGAAAUUGAAAGAAGCUUCUGAAGUAUCUACUUUCAUACAAACGUGUGCGGCUAUCUUGUUGGUUUUAUGAGGGUGUGUGGGGGGAAAACCAAAAGUAAAAAAAUACAGCCAAAGGAAAUGGCCAAUAAUAUAAGCAGGAAUAGCAAUUGAGAAACAAAAUAAAUCAAAAGAAUGUAUAGAAAUCAAUCAUAUCUAAAACCUCGUACCAUUUGUAGCCACCAACUUCAAAUGCAUUACUACGAAGUUCUCGUUUGCUUAUCUGUGAAAAUUUCUCAAUCCUCCAUGUGUAUUUUCCAUAUAACUCGGAAGGUUUAGGCCCUAUAAAGAAGUUAUCUUAGCUUAAGAAGUGCACCGAACAGAAGGUUAUUAAAGAUAACAUAGGUUAAAAAAUCGACUAAAAUUUCUUCGUGCUGAGAUAAAGAAAUAAGUAAAACAACAAGACUAACACAGCAGAUAAUAAAUCAUAUGAGAUAAACUUAGUCUUACUUCUGCAGCAGACUAUGGAAUGGAAAGCAGGCACAUUUAGACUCAAUUAAGUAUUACCUUCGUAUCAACUACUUAUAUCGAAAGAGAAUGUACAGAAUAAAUUUUGACAGGCACAAGGGCAAUUUAAACAAACACCUUCAGAGAAUAACAGUUUGAGCAUUUUGAAGCAUGUUGAUUUUUAGUCUGUAUCCUUAACAUUCAACUUUUUUAAAACGAGCACUGACGAGAUAAAGAAGCAAGAUAGUUAGAAAUCCACAGUGAUAAGUAGAGAAGCAAUACUCGGUAUUAUCUUUUAAGAGGCAAAACAACUAGACCGUCAAACAAGAAACACAAGAAUAUUUCAUCAUAGAAGGCUCUAAAAUCACACAAUACAAGACUUGAACAUUAAUUAUACAAUUUUUUACACAUUGUCAUACAUAGCAGGUAAUAGAUUAUUCACGGGAACAAUAUCAACUAGUCAAAACUGAAAUAGGCAACAGUAAACAGCAUGUUGGCAAAUCAUUUCAAGCUCCAUUUGCAGCAGACACUCACUUAUAACCAAUUAUAAUCAUGUAAAAUACAUAGAGUAAUUCAAAUUUAUGAGACUUCAAUAUCCAUCCACCCUUGAAGAGAACUAGACUGUACAAACAGUAUAUAUCAAUAAACCAUGAGUCCAAAUACAAACAGAAAGCUAUAUUGCUUAUCAAGUUAUUUUGUAUUUGUAGUCAUUGUUCUUUUCCUUGUACUUUACUUUUUCCUUCCAUAUAAGCUUGUAAGUAUCAGAAACAACAAAAAAUACCCAUUACCUAACAGUUCACAAGAACCAUGGAACACACACUCAUUAUCAAAGCACAAGAUAACUAAUAAUUGAAAGACAAUUCAGGGAAGCAAAACCAUACAGCCAUCAUCAUCAUCGUCAGUGUCCCAGUACGGGGGUGAAGUCGAUGGGGUUCCAUUUUCCACCUGCUCAGAAGAACGCCACUCCGCCAAUGCUUCCCCAGAUUGACAACGCUGCCCACUCGAAAUCCCCUCCACAGACCUUCCCAAUCCAGACUCCUCGCUCGCAAUUCCCGCCAUUUCCCAAUCCAGAACUCCCUACCCCACACUCGUUCAAUUCCACUUGCUAUGACGCACCAAACAAAAAGAAUCAAAGUUAGCAAUUAAACCUCACGUCACAUAACAAAAAACCUAACAUAUAUUAACAAUGUAUAAAACCAAAACCCCGAAUACGACAAAAGAACAUUAAUUAACAAUGUAUAAAACCAAAACAUGAAAUACGACAAAAAAGUCUCAAAAGCUAAAGAAUAGAAUCAAAAUGGCAAUAAUCCGUUAGGCCGUUGAAAAAAGUGGUGACAGGAAAGGAAAUUACAGUUAGCACAAUGAAUUCUUCAUCAAUUAGGACCUAUCUGAAUAAAAGCCUCCAAUGAAUUAAUUAUAAUAUGGCAGUUUUACCUGAAUGCUCUUAUUAUUGUAUAUUCAAUUCCUCCAAAACCAAAUUAUGACAAAACACACAAAUUUUUUUUAAAAUACCAUUAUCUUCAACUUCCACACCCAAUAUGUUUUCUAACAAUCAAAUUUAAUUCAACAUUUGUAAUCCAAAUACCAAAACCCCAUCUCCUCAUAAUCAAUCAGAAAAUUAUUUUUAACAUCAUGAGAUUAUAAAAUCAAACACCCAGCUCAACAACAAUCGUUCAGAUUAAAAAGACAAAGAAACACGUAGCACAAACAAAAACUCAAACAAAGAAAAUUAUCUAGGUAAACCCAAUUGCAUAAAAGAAAAAAACCCAUAAAGACCAAAACGAUCAUCGGCGAAAAACUAAAGAUCGUAGAAAUAAAUCCCCAAAACCCCAAUUAACAUCAAACCCUAAAACAAAACAAGGAAGGAAUAGGGAUAGAUUAAAAUUAAGGGAAUCGAAAGUUGGCAACGACGUCGUACAGAUCGAACCUGAAACCGAAGACCAGAGGCUGUUCUGUUCCCAAAUUGGGUUAAGACAGGACAGCUCUUUGAGAUUUUAGAGAGAAGAGAGAGAUAGAAAGAAAGAGGGGUCCAAGGAGAGCAGCAAAGCAAUAGAGAGAGGCCAAAAAAGAAAAUUUGUUGUUUUCAUUUAUUUAUUUAUUGUGGUUUUAUUUUUUUAAUUUUUUUCCUAUUUUGCUUUUCUCAUUUUUUAUUAUCGUGAUGAGGAUUGCCACAUAGGGUGGGAACAAGAGGGUAGCCUCUGGCCUUUUCCUUUAUAUAUAUAGGGGGGGGGGUCGGUGACAAAUGUUGGAGAGCACAGGGCAGAACAACCUGGUUGCGGUGGCUCGCUGCAUGAGUAGUUUUCUAGGUUAUGGGACGCCCUAAGCUUUGAACAUGUUAAUUGGUUUAACCAAGCCUGCGGUCUACUUACCCUUUUUUUUUUAAUUGUUUUCUGCAAAGUUAUUUAUUUAUUUUUAUUUUCGUUAGGGUUUUGGCAAGAUGGGCUGGGGAGUGGAGACAAUGGUCAAUGGGCUUUAAAAUGAUGGAUCAAAUUGGGCUUACCAGGGCGGUCAAGGAAAUCCAGUUUGAGACUGACCCAUUUGGAAAGGAUUUUGUGAAAUCCAAUACUGAUAAAAGUACCGAACGAACCCACUUUUAUGUGAGCGGGUAGCGACUAACGAGUGUCUUCUGCGUAGGGAUGACAAAUUAGUUUAUUUAAAUUGGAUAUUCAUAUAUUCAAUCUAAUUAGAUUGGAUAAUAUUCAUUUAAAAUUUUUUUGAAGAUAGAUAUGAAUAUUUUUAAAAAUAUUUAAUUAGAUAUUGGAUGGAUAAUGAAUGCAUUAUGCUCAUAAGUAUUCCUAAGUGAUGAUCUAGUUCUGCUGUACGGCCAAGGCGGAUGUACGGUACAGCAGCCAUUUAAAGUUAAAAAAAUUUAUAUUGUUAAACUAAAAUGAAAAAAAAAACAAAAUAUAAUUUCCUCUUAUAUUAAUUAGUGAAGAAUUUAAAUUCCUCUUAUAUUAAAAAUUAAAGUUUCUAAAAUUACCCUUUAAUUUUUUAACUUAUUUAAUGUCAUUAAUAAUUAUUAUUUUAUUGAUUUAAUAUUAUAAAUGGACCUCCACCGGAAAGUCACCGGACCACUGCCAGAAGUUGCCGGAAGGUCGCCGGAUCACCGACAGAAUAUCGCGUGGACCAUCGUCGGCUUUGCCAGAAAAUUGCCGGACCUCUGCCGAACUUCGCCGGACCCCGCCACCGGCCACCGGACCACCAUUUUAUUAUAUACAUAUAUAUUAUUACUAAUAUAAAUAGUUUAAUAGCCAAUUUUGAUAUUGGAAUUUUAGUUAUUUUAUAUUAUUAUUUUUAUAUAAUAAAAAUAAAAUAUCCAUGGAUCUCCAUAUCUAUAUGGAUAAAAUCCAUAUCCAUGUCCAAUAUUAAAUACUGGAUAUGGAUAUAUUCAUUAUGGAUAAUUAUAGAUUUGUAUUUGGAUGAAUAUUAUCCAUCCAUAAUUAGAUAUUUACCAUCCCUACUUCUGCGUGCACUACCUUCAAAUCUCAAUAUACAAGUUGUCAUGGGUUAUGGAAGAGAGAUGACUUAUUACGACUUUGAUUAUAUUCUCUCCCAUUAUAAACAGAUUUUUGGUAACGAGUUCUAUGAAAUUGUAGCCAACAAAAAUCCUUAGUUAAUGAUGAUGAGAUAUAAUACGAUUUUUUAUUAUAUUAUUUUAAUUUUGUUAAUGUCAUUAAUAGUGUUCACGUUUAAAGAAAUAGUAUAAUAUUUUAAUUGUACUUGUUCUAGUUGAGGAGUUGGGGUGGGUGAUUUCCAAACAAUUUUAUUUUGGAUCCAGUUAUGUCAAAACCUUUUUAAGGUAAAACACAUCUUCAUAAUCGCACGAUUAAAAUUAUAACGUAUUUUUUAUUAUUUAUUAUUUUUUGUGUGUGGCUGUGAUUUAUACUAUACCUUGCAACAACUCUGAAGUAGCUAUUGCCUUGGCAUCCAAAAUUAAGUAUUGAGAAAAAAAAGUCAAAGAAUUAAUUGAGAUUUUAUUUUCUUUUUCCUUCUUUUUAAAUUAAAAAAAAAAAUCUUACACCCUUAGUUUAGGUAGAUGAUUUUCAAAUACUGUAAUUAGAUGACCAGUCAGAUUCAAAUGCUAAGAGGCGGCGAAUAUAAAUCAAUUUGAAUUUAUCCACCAACCUACCUACUUUUUAAAUACAAAAAAUAAAUAAAAGGAACUUACCAAAUUCGAAAGGGCAAAUGUGUACUUUACCUUAAUUUUUCAAAAUUUCCAGAAGAGCCUCGUCUAUCCGCUAAGCAUCGCCUGUGUUGCCGCUUGCCAGCGUAAUCAGUGAAAUUCCGGCGGUGCGCUUCCAGAAGUUGUACGCUCCUGCGGAGUACCACCACGUCGCUAGCCAAACGCAUUCCACAUUCAUUCACGUAAAGCUCGCAAGGUUUCCAAAAUUUUCAUUCUUUUUUUUUCACAUCUCAUUUAUUUUCAAUGAUUUACCUCUUCUUUAAUUACGCUAAAGAGUCCUUACGAAGUACGUUUUCUUUUUAACAAACACCCGCAUUAGGCGGACGUGGAUAAAGAACAAUUUAAUUGUUAAUUUUAUUAAAGAUUCGCUUAGAUUUGUUUGGCAUCCGUAUAAAUGUAGACAUAGGUGUACAGAGAGAAGGAACAUCUAGGGUUUUAUUCGCUUUUAAGGGAGGCUUGGUUUCUUGGGAGGUAUGUUUUAUUUUAUUUUAUUUUUUCUAAAUUGAUUGUGCCAAAUUUGGCUAGGUUAUGUUGAUUGAGAGUUUUUGUUUCUUUUGAUGCAACCAUGAAUAGACUUCUAAUGUAAUAUUUGAAAGAAAAUUACAAUUUACAAUUCAUAUGGGAAGACAUUGAACCCUUGAUUUUAAGUAUGAGGUUCGAAGAUGCUCACCACGCGACUAAGGAGGUGGGGCGGGAAUGGGUUGGGUUUAAUUGGGUUUGUGAAAAUUCAAACUAACUCACUAUUGAUUAGGUUUGGAAAAAUCAACUCAAUCUAACUAAAUAAAUAUGUUCAACCCAAACCAAUCCAACCCUUAAAUCAUUGGAUUGGAUUUGAUUGAUCAAGUUGAUUAAAAUUAAUUUUUGGGAGGAUUGUUGGAUUAAAGAAGUUGCUCUCUGUGAUCUUUUCCCUCGAUUAUAUAGACUUUCUUGAGGUCAUGAAUGCUCUAUAGCUAGUAUGUGUGAGUACUCUAUUAUGCAGUGGAGUUGGGAUUUUAAGUUCAUUAGAAACUUGAAUGAUAGAGAAUCUGAACAAUGUGCUAAGAUGCUCGGGAUUCUACAAGGAGUUUUUCUUAAUAAUCUAAAAGAGGAUAAGAGAGUUUGGAAUUUGGAUAAAUCAUGAUGUUUCUCUAUGAAAUCUUACUUUCUUAACCUCAUAGAUAACCCCGUUGCCCCCUCAUUUUCUCCUUCUUACCUGAUUUGGAAAGCUAAAGUCCCUACCAAGGUGAAGAUGAUGGUUGCUCAUAGAAAAAUCAACACAAAUGACAUGGUUCAAAGAACGAGACCUAACAUGGCUUUAUUUCCAGAAUGGUGUGUCGUUUGUAAAAAUGCUUCAAAGAAUGUUGAUCAUCUAUUUCUACACUGCAAUGCUGCUUACUUUUUGUGGUCUAACUUGUAUAAGACCUUUAAUCUAAGUUGGUCAGCCCCUGUAUCAUGCUACUCCCUCCUCUUAGAAAGUUUUUCUUGCUUAAAAGGGCAAAAAAAAGCAACGGUUCUAUGGGACUGUGUAGUCUUUCUUUUUAUUUUGCUUAAUUGGGAAGCUUUUAUAUCUUAACAGGGAUGCGCUCUUAGUAAGCUAGUGUUUUUGGGUUUUGCGAUAUUUUAUCUUUGCAGUUUCUAAGUGUUUUGUUUAUUUUGGGACUUCUCGUCCUUAUUUUGUGGAUUUUUAGUCCUCCUAAUCCUUGUACAUAUUUCUUAUAGUUUUAUUUAAUCUUUUGUUUCUUAGCAAAAAAAUAAUAAUCAUUUAAAAAAAUCAUAAAUAGAAAAAGAUUAAAAAAAGAACAUUCUUAUCUUAAAAUUGAUUCAAAUAGGAAAAAAAUGUUAAUUCUCCAUCAUAUAUUAAGUAUUGUUCAUUAUACCUCACAUUUAUUAAUAAACAAAGCAACAAAAUAAAGAUUGUAUAAGAAACUAUAUGACAUAAUGUUUUAUAAUCUAUUAACUUAUUUUUAAUGAAAAUUCGGGUUUGAUUGCCGAAUUUUGAAUGUAGAGGAUUCAAUCAAUGUUAGGUUAAACUAAGAGAAAUUGAAAAUAGUCUUUUUUUAUAAAAGAAUGAAAAGAGCUACGUUUAUAGUUGAUAUUAAUUUUGCUAUAAUUUUUAUUAUUCUUGGGUUGGGGUUAGGGCAUCAACAUGAACCCAAUCCAACCCUCAUUAAUUAGGUUGGAAAAAGUGACCCAAUCAUCCAUCUAAAUUUAAUUGGGUUGGGUUCAAUUGGGUUCGUUGGAGUAUAUUGGGUUUGCCCACCCCUACUAAGGAGUGAUUUGUUAAUAAAUUUACUGUUAUUGUAUUAUUAUUAUUAUUAUAGCCUAACGGCAACCCAAUUCAGUCCCCUCUCCACCCCACCAAUGUGAGCGGUGUUUGAACCUUAAGACUUCUUGUUUCCACACAAAUGACUUUACUUUUUACCAAUUGAAUUGGAUGGACCCACUCGUUGUUGUUGCCAGGUAGUUAAGUAAGAUCUAUUUGGUUGUUAGUAUUUUUGGAUUCAAAUUGUGUUCACGGCUAGUUUGAUUUCUUGUCUGAUUGGUUUUAAUCUUUUUAACUUUAGUUCUUAUUCAAAAAGAUGUGAUUUUGUCUAUUCUUGCAAAAUAGGCAUUAUCUAUUUUAAGAGUUGAGUACUUGUGUGUGUUUGUAUGUAUAUGUAAACCCACAAGUCAUUGCAUUUUAAGUUAGGACUAUUGCAGAUUCCACAACCUUAGUAUUCAAGAAACUUGUGGAUAUAAAUAUUCUAGAUAAGUAUCCCCAAGAUUGAGUUUGAAAAGUAUCCCUAAGAUGGGGUUUGAACUUUGAACCCUGACCAUAUAUUUGAUUUUAAUUUUGAUCUUUUGCAAUGAGCAAAAAAGGUAAUGUAAGAGAGGUUCUAGAACCUUUUCUAAUGGUGUUUUGUAUUUUUGGGUUGGGUAAGAUGCUCCUUUGUGUUGAAUUGCUAAAAUUCUUUAAUCUAGUUAUUGUCAUCUUAAGUUGUUUAAUCUUAUUUGGUUUUGGUUAUUAUGAAAUUUAUUUUUUUCUUUUAGUUAUUACUUUAAUCUUAAAGAGCGAUUCUACACUUUCUAAGUGUGUUUCUAACCUUUACAAUCCUAAGUGGGGUGGCAUCCAUCCAUUAGAUGAUGGGAUGGAAUAAUAAGUAAUUUCACAAGUUAUGAAAUUGAUCAAUCAAUAAUGAAUGCUACAUCAAUACUUAAGAUGAGAAUAUUGGGAUAUUACUUGGGAAGUCUUCUAUUAUUCUAUCUUGAAAUAAGUCUAAUUUUACCAACCCACUUUUCAUUGGGAAUUCUAGAUGCUAUCAUGACUUCAUCAUGUGUCUACAUUCUUUUUAUGAAUUUGAUUUGAAGAUUUGUUGGUAUCUUUGUUGUGUUGCGACAUGAAUUAAUCACCAUUGCUAAUUGGAAGGAAUAUGUUGAAUAGCAUGAAUGAAUUGAAUUUUGAAUAUUCUCUUUUUCUAUAUGAAUUCUUAGCCCUGUUUGGGAUUGAGGUUGAAACUCCAUAAGUUGCUUAUUGAGUAAUUUUUGACAAAAAUAUUAUUUGGAAAAUUUUGUAAAAAUUAUUUAUUUUGUAAUUUUCUUCAUUUUGACAGUAACUUUUAAAAGUAAGUAGAAGGUCACUUCUUAAAAGUAGCUUAUUAAAUAAGUCACUACACAUUUUUAAAGUUUCUAUUAUUUUCUUAAUAUUUUAAUAGAAAGGCAAUUAUGUCUUAUUUUUCCAUAAACCCAAAUUUAUAAACCAUUAGAUAUGAUAUUAUUGCCACAAUCAAAUUACUACCAGGACUAAUAUACAUUCUCUCCAAUAUCAAAGUUUUGGUUCAGUAAGUUCAUAUUUUUUGUAUUUUACUUUUAUUUUUUAUUAUAAAAAUCAAUAAGACUUGCAUAUGAUUACAUAAAUUUUCUGUAAACUUUGAAUAAUUUCAUGUGAAAGCUAACCAUGAUUUUAUGUAGUUUUUUGUCUUUUAAAAAGAAAAAAAUGCAUUUCUAAAUAAUUUAUUAAAUGCAUGUAUUUUGCUUUCAAACUCACAGCAAUUGCAAUGACACAAUUUUCCAAACACCAAGCUGCUUGUUAAUUAGUAGCUUAUUUUAUCCACACUGCGAAAGCAAUUUCUUUGAUCAACCACCACAAUCCUAAAUUGAUCCUUAGUGGGUUUCCUGGUUUCUUCUCUUUUGCUUUCAAAAUAUCCCCAUUUCUUUCUAUAGUUCUUUAUUUCUAUUAAGCCUUUUGUUCUACGCCAUAGAGUGUUCAAAACUUCAGUUUUGUAUUCCUGUAUCUUUUUCAUAAAUUUACUGUUUGAUGGAUGUUUGUUUUACUUACGGAUGUAGAUAAAGGUUAUGUUGAAUCUUGAUCUAUUAUUGGCCCUUUUAUGCAAUACAUGAUUUGUUUCAUUUGCUAUUGAUGUCCAUAUUGUGGUAUGCUUUUGCUAUUUCACACGAAGAUGUUAGAUGGAGGUUGACAUUGUGGUUUUGUGCUUGAGUCCCUCAUUCUAUUAAUCACAUGACAAUAUAUAACAAGUUUAGUGUGUGUUUCGAUCCAUGUAUAUGGUUGCUUUGGAUAAACAUGGCUAUCUUGUUAAAUAAAUUAAACCUUACACAUAAAAGGGUGUUAAGAGUUUAUAUACAAUCAUUCAAUCAGCCUUUACCUAUUAGUUUAAGAUUGAGCAUUCAAAGAUCCCUUGAACCCUCUGUGCUUUAUUAAGAUAAAGAAAGAAAUCAAGUGCUUGUCGACAAAUUUGUUGGCAUGUUGGCAUUGUGAAAUCCUUUAUUUUCGUUUCGGUUAUUAGGAAUUUGUAGUGUUUGUAAUUGUGUAAUUAUAUUUUGUUACUAUGUACUUAAGAUUUGAGUCUCAAGUUUUUAUCCUAUAUAUUGUAUUUAAAUGUCUUAUAUCUCCGCCCUAUAACAAUGUAUUGUUGACCAAUUUACAGUUGAACAUAAAUUAUAGAGCCUUUGCAUGGCAAAAUUACGCAACUUCUAUAAUUUUAAUAUGACAGAUACCGUCUAGCGGUUCAGUGUGUGCCGGAUCAAGAAUAAUUUUUUUCUACCGCAAAGACUAGUGUAUUUCCCUUAUAUGCAAAUGCUUUGCGUAGUUGACUUUUCCCACAUUAGUUAGAAACUGGUAUCUGUCAUAUAUUAUAUCUCCUUAUUUCUGAUUCUUGCUCCGAAAAUGCAGCCUACCCUCCUUUUAUGCUAAACCCUUAGGACCAUGUAAGUUGGACAGGCCAUCUUUAUUUGGUACCUCUAACCAAGUAGCUGUGAGAAAAUUUGGCUGGCACACACUGGACAAGCAAAAAUAUUAGCAAGUAAAAUUUUUUCAAACGGUAACGUGUGAAAUUGUACGAUAACAAGCUACUAAGUACUAAGAACUCGCCAUAUAAACAUCCAUGAAUGAAGGAUUUUGAGGGUUGAACAAUCAGAAAACGUAGACUAAACUCUGCCGUUCUUCAACCGAAAGAUAUCUAUGUGCUUUACUAAUAAAGAUUCCCCUUUCUUUAAGCGACGCCAACAACUGCAAUUCAGUGAAUAAGUGGAUACAUAAGCAUACAAUGAAUAAGAGAGAGAUUUUGUGAAAAUUGUACAAUGUAAAGAAUACAUAAGCGUAAAGAGCUCACCAAAUUUAGCACUUUCACUCACUUCAUCACCAUCUGAAGAAUGUGUCCCAACUUCAUAUUCAGAAUUCUUGAGUUUACUCUCAUUCUUCCUCUCAUGCAUAGCGGCCUCAAUUCAGUACUGUCAAUCUUCUUGUUUUCAGGUCCAUAACCGAGCUUAACCUGAUUUUGCUUUACUGGAGGAGUAUUCAUUUUGAGUGUAAGAGCAUCAACAUUUUGCUCAUUAUUUGAUAAUUUAAAACAAUAUAAACCCUGCAACUAAACUAACAAAUACUUGAUUAACUAACAUUUUACGGAGCUUGAAACAAAAACAAAAAAAACCAUAUAAAUCUCCCAAGAUGCUGUUUAUUCUGUCUUUUAACCAAUAACCUGCAAAAGAAAGGAAUAAAUUAAGUAAAACAUACCAGUUUGUUCUCUUCAAGCGUGGAUGGAAGAAUGAUCAUGAAGAAAUGUGAGCAAGUCUGUCCCAAAGAAUUUGAUAUCAUAGAUUCUGCUCAACCACUGGAAUCCAGUUCCUCAAUUUUUUUUCAUAGCUCAGAAACUAUUUCUGCUUGAUCUUGUGAGCUGUGAUUUGCCUGCAACUUAAUAUACUGUCUUGACUCUUGUGUAAUCUAAGGGACCGGUGCUACUCAUAUAUCCAUGUUGUAGCUUUUAUAAUCAUAAUAAUACCAUUUAAAAGGAUCUUCGAAUGCUCCAUAUAUUAUUUGAUGAACCAAUGAAUGAGCAGGUUUUUUUGCUGGCAUUGACUCCAACUACUCUGCAUUGAAAUUUCGGGCCCAUCAGCUGCUGGUAGGAGCCAAAUCAAGACUACUUUCAUUUUUUGGACCAGCUUUAUACCACAAAAUAACCCUCAAAUGUUGAAAAGAAAAUGGCCAUGCAAGUUCAUUCUUACUCAUCCUGGGCUUCACCAUAAUAACAUAAUUAACUAAUAUGCAAUCUGCAUAGUUAACUCCAAAGAGAUUAAUAUAAUAUGGACAUAUGUUUCGAGGUCUUGGCCAAAAACACAAAAAUUUGGCCCAAUAACGUAAAAAUUGUGUAUGGUAUAUGUAAUAUAUUUUAUUUGAAAUAUUUAUUUUUUGCUUAAUAUUAACAUAUGCAUAGAGAGGUUAUUAUAAAAUUGAAAAUUGAAAGACCAUUAGCUAAGUUAAAAUAAAAUUAAAAGUAGUUCAUUUGUCACGGAUUGCACUUUUAAAAAAAUAAAAAAAUUUACACUUUGCAAAAAAAAGGGAAAAAACCACACCUUCAACAUUCUUUUUUAUUUUUCUUUAAUAAAAAUAACUAUUUCAAAAUUUCAUUUUAAACAUGAAGAGCCAUCUAUUUUUCAACGACUUUACAUCCAAUAUUUAAAAUUUUAAUUUACAAGUAUGCCGAAGAUGAUUGGUCAUUUGCCGUUUUGUAGUCAAAUGAUGUGACAUUCGGUCUAAUUACAACAAAACGACAUGAUAUCCAUGUCAACUUCACAAAUGAUAAAGCAUAAAUAGUAUAUGCCGAAGCGUAUUGUUUAUGAUUCAUCGUUUGAAUUAUAAGAAAAAUAACACGUCAUUUAGAUGAUAAGUGCGGACAUGAUGUGAUAGACAAUUAGUUUUCUUGAAAAUGACACGUCAUCCUACAAGUUAAAUUCUACACGAUUUCAAUGAAUGUAAGAGGCCGUUUAUUUUUUAACAACAAAUAAAAUAAUAAAAUAUUUGAGUUAUUCAUGUAUUUUUGCAUGUUUAAUGGUUUGCUUUCUAACAAUAAAUAAACUAAGAAAAUAUUUGAAUUAUUCGUAUAUUUUUUCAUGUUUGUUUUCUUGAAAAUAAGUUAUUUGCAUAUUUCGGUAAAAGUAAUGAAAAGACUUUAGUUUCGAAUUCAUAUGUAACUACGAAUAUAUAAUCACUUUGCCUCUCAUUGGGCUCAAUCUAAAUUUGGGCCAAUAGUGCAAAAAUUGUACAUGUUAUAUGUAAUAUGUUUUAUUUGAAAAUUUUAAAUUUUUUUCAUAAUAUUAAUAUAUGCAGAUGGAGAGAUUACGUAUAAAUUGAAACUUGAAAGAUCAUUAGCUAAAUCAAAAUAAAAUCAAAGAUAACUUGAAUUGCACUUAAAAAAAAGAAAUUACUUUGGAAAAAUUGAAAAGAAAAAAACCACACCAUGGAGAUUGCUUUUCUAUUUUUCUUUAAUGAAAAAUGAUUAUUUUAAAUUUUAACUUAAGACAUGACGAGUUAUCUAUUUUUUAAAGAUAUGACAUCCAAUAUUUUAAAUUUUAAUUUACAAGCAUGCUGAAAACUACUGAUCGUUUGUCAUUAUAUUCACAAACGAUGUGGGACAUUUUGAUGAAUUACUUAAAACGACAUGCCAUUCAUUUCGCUUUUACAAACGACAAUUCGAAAAGUCAAUGUGUCCGUGCAUACUCGUUACCAUGUGAUUUUUGUAUUCUAGAGAAAAUAACACAUCAUUUUCGGUAUUAGCAUAGAGACGACAUGCCAUACCAUUAGUUUGCUUGACAAUAAGACGUUAUCUAGCGAGUUGAAUUCCACAUGAUUUCAGCGAAUGCAAGAGAUUGUUUGUUUUUUAACAAUUAAAUAAAUUAAUAAAAUAUUUCAGCUAUUCACAUAUUUUUUUCAUAUUUGUUUUCUCCAAGACUUAAAAUAAGUUAUUUGUAUAAAGUAAGAGAAAGACUUUAUGUAUAUAUACAUAUUCCAAUAAGUUUGUAAGGGCCAAUAGAAGGUUUUAGAGUCAUAAGAUGAAAUUAUUGGGCUAGAGUUGACCUCAGCAACUAUGUAAGCCCUAUGCUUCUUUCCCACUAGUUGCCCUAAUAUAAGAAAAUGAUCUCUUGGCUACACAACGGCUCAUUGUAAAUUUGGUCCAGUAGUGUAAAAAUUAUACAUAUUAUGUAAUAUGUUUUAUUUGAAAUGUUUAUUUAUUUUUUCAUAAUAUUAAUAUAUGUUGAUAGAGAGACCAUGAAUAAAUAAAAAAUUGAAAGUCCAUUAGCUAAGCUAAAAUAAAAUAAAAGGAAGCUCAUUUAUCUUGAAUUGCACUAUCAAAAAAAUAAAAUUAUAAAAAUUUGUACUUUGCAAAAAAUUCAAAAGCAAAAAACCACACCGUCCAGAACUCCAGAUUGCUUUUCUAUUUUUUAAUAAAAAUGAUUUUUUUCUGCUGUACCGUACAUCCGCCUUAGCCGUACAGCAGGAUAAUAGGAAUCAAAUAAACUAGAAAUACUAGUCAUAUGAUCAGAAGCACCCGAAUCAAUAAUCCAUGGUGCAGUAGUUGAGUGGCUAAAUAGAGCAUUAAUAAUACUACCUGUUUGGGCUAGUGAACCACUAGGAGUAGCAGUAGUUGAACCACUAGGAGUAGAGGAAAUUUGGUCAGACAUGGUAGGGAAGAGAUCAGAAAGAAAGGGAGGCUAGCUCUGAUACCAUGUGAAAAUAGGUAGAGAAAAAGUUUAUGGAACAAUUCUCAAUUUUAUUACUUCAUGAGACUGUACACAGUCUUAAUAUAGGGAUACAAGAGACUAAGAAAGGAAAGGAAAAAAUUAAAGCAGAAUAUUACACACUGAUUUCUAGGAAGCAAUAACUCUCUAUAUUUACACCAAAUAUACACCUAAAUAUAUAAGGAAAACCAAAUCACAAUUUGAUUUGGUCAACCUUUCAACAAAAGCUGUUGUUUAUUGAAUAGCAAAGUAUAGGUGGCAAUUAAGGAGAAUGAUAUAGUAAAAAUGAGUGUUUUAGUAGGGAAAUUGUGGUCGUAGAAGAAAGAUAAUGGAGUAGAAGAAACAAGCAGAAAUCAGCUCCUAAGACUUGAUUAUGGUGUUUGAAAGGGACAAGCAAAUGACUUCUAAGGAUUGGUGGUUUAAAGAAUAUAAGAAACGAAAUGAAUUUAAUGGAAAUGUGCAGUCCUUACUUUUUUAGGGAUGUUGUGGCAAGAAAGAAAUAGUCUAUUUUUUAAUAAGACAAGGAAGAGGAUGAAAACUGGCUGUGGUGACAUAGUGUGAAAGCGAUAAUAGAUGUUGAGAAUUAAAUGAAUAUUAUUAAUGAAUUGGUGAAAUAAACUAGAAUAACAAGCCUAUUUAUACUAAUAGUAAUUGAUCAUAAACCUAAUAAACUUAUGAUUCCUUACAAGAGCAGGAAUAUGAUUUUAACAAGAAAAUGUAAAGCAAAUCGUAAUUAAGCAAGAAAAAUAAAUUAAACUGCAACUCUACUUGUCCCACAUCACAUGGGACAAAAUCAUUCUUGUGCUUCUCUUUGAGUCUCAGUCUCUAAGGAUUUUGAAGACAAUUUUCUCUUUUUCAUCAAUCUCAAUUGGGGACGGAUCUUCAGUUAAUACUGUUUAAUGGACCUCCUCUAGGUUUUGUAAGUUUUGGGACUAGUAUACUGUUUGGGGUAUGAAUAUGCUGUUUUCGUUUUGUAUAGCCCACAGGAAGCUUAUAAGGCUGUUUUUAUUUCCCUUGUGGACCUCUGGUUAUCUGGUUUGCUUUUAUAUGACUUUUCAAUUCAUUUUAAUAAAAUAUUCUGUUUCUGUUUAAUAAAUUGAAUUUAAAAAAAAAAAGGAAUUCAAUGGAUUGAUAUAGGCCACCAAUUUUAGUUUGGAAUUAUUACCCAAAUCCCAGAUAACAAACAAAGAGGCAAGGCAAAUACCUGUUAAAACAUGAACAUGUAAUUGUUUAUUGCCGAUAUCCAAAUUUGAAAUUUCAGCUGAAUUUGUUGGUGCCCUUGUUACAGCUAUUUACUGCUUCAUGGAUUAUCAUGGGUAAGUCUCGCCUUCCAUUUAAAGUUGGCCAACUGACAGAGUCAAGAUCUUUUGUUCCAGGUUUUCGGAGUUCAUGGUUCCGAUGUAAGGUAUGUUCGGGUCAUGGCUAUGUAGAUUAAAUUUACUUUAAAUACUUUUGAUUCUGUGUUAUACUUUUAAUACGGCCAUGCUUAGUUUUUAAAACUAAGUUUCAUUCACAGUAUCGAUGAUUAAUUAUAACAAAAUAUGGAACAAAAAUCUAACUUCUGGUUGGAUCCUAUGAUUUUUAUACUGCCUUGGGGUUUCUCAUUACAUUCAUUUUGUAGCAGCAUAUAGUGAUCAUCCUAAUUAUAUAUAUUCUUUCUUUUCUUUUUUGUCUAUGAUUUGCUGCUUCUACUGUAGUAGAUCAACUUUGCUGAUGAAAUGGAAGAUUUCAGUGGCAUUUUGACAAAUAGUUUGGUUUGAUAUACUUUGAAGGACAUGAAAGGGUUAUUGUCUCAUACAGAUGUUUGUGGCACUCCAUAAAAGUUUAUGCCUCCAACUUGUUAGAAGUAUUUAGGUGUAGUUAAAACAUUGUGUCAUCAGCCAUCAUGUUUUAAGCCAAGGAAGGCCUAACUAAAAAACAUGCCCAAACCCUUUCAUCUGAUGCACGGAAGAAAUCACCUAUUUUCUUAUCAUGACAUGAACUCUUUCUUGUUGAUUUUGACUAGACAGUACAAAAAGAUCAAAACUUAAGUGGGAUAAGUUAUUACUAUGAAUUUUGUUUAUUAUCUGCCACUUUCAAUAUUAAACAGUUACCGACAUUGGUCAUUUAGGGGAGAAUUAGCCUUCUAUUUCUAUGUGCUUAACAUACGUCUGUUCGUAAUUAAAUUUUUUGGUAAUUGACUCAGACGUUUCUCUAGACAAAAUUUAUGUCAGGACGAGUCCUUUAAUCAGCUGCUGUGCCAUUAAUGUCUGUCCUUGCAUGGUUUUAAACAUUAUCUUGCUAUUUCGUUAAUGAAAGACCAUUUUCUUGCUAAAGAUUACAUUUUCUUUCAUUCAUUCAGUCCUUUUUUUGUUUUUUAAACACAAUUGCUUUUACUGUUGUUUCUUUAGUGUCUCUUCAUGCUUUAUUGUAAAUACUAUAGGUCUUAAUGAGAAUCAUAUUUUUGUUGUUUGGUAUCCUUUGCUUUUAUCAGAUAAGGAACAUUUCCGUGCGGCAUAAAGAAGUAAUGCAUGCCUUGGAAUAUCUAGACUUUCCAGAUGAAAGUAAGUAGUAUCUGUUGUUUGUGUGCAUAUGCCUUUGCCAUGCAUUUUCAUUUAUGUGUAUGCUUGUCACAAAUUUAGCCUUGGGAGUGAAUAGUUCCUUCACUUGUGCUUUUUUGACUGAACUGUAGUUAUAACUUUUCUCAUAUGUUUGGCAAAUCUAAGCGUUGUUUCUAGACCUUUCAUGGCAGAGAUACUUCCAUUGGAUGAUUAUUAUGGUUCUGCUAGUGAGUUGAUUUUUAUCUGCUUUUCAUUGUUAUUUGAUGUGUGGUCUUCUGUAGAAAUACGAUGGACAAAGUUAUAUCAGAAACCUGUUGGUGGUUCUAGAUCGAAGGAGAUGAAAAGACAAAUAAUGGUUCGCCCAUCCUUUCCUCCUAUAUUUUGUGAAAGUCAAAUGCCUGACGUCAACAACAUUACAGAAGUGGUUGUUAUUGUCAAUGAUGUAUGGAAGGUGGGGGAUUUGGUUGAUUGGUGGACUGAUAAUUGUUAUUGGACUGGAAGGCUAACAGAAAUACUUGGGGAUGGGAAGGCUCGGGUAAUAUUUUUGCACCUCAUUUAUGUUAUGUACUUAUUGAGACUUCUUAAUAUGGCUUGUUCCUUGUUAUUUUAUUUCAUGCCUACUUUGAUAGGCUGUAUGCAUGUUUUUUAUGACAGUAUGCUGUUUACAAUACUGCUCUUGUUAUGCAAUAAUGGAGUCUUGUUUUCUUAUAAAUUUUUUCUUUUCUAACAAUUUUCUCCUAGUAUUAUAAUAUAAAUUAUUGCAUCAGAAUUCCACUUUCAUAUAGCAUAUAACAUCUGCAGUGGAGGAAGAAUUUUCAUAUUAUCAUGAAAAAAAAUUCUCUCUUCUUACCCUAGCGCUUCACAGCAUGGCUUAUUACUCUGUGUGAGAGAGUAUUCUUUCCGGAGCUUAUACUUUUCAAUUUCUGUUAGUUGCUCAACUGAGUUUCAGUAGUUUGGCUAACAUACCUUUACCGGAGGGGGUGAGUUAUGAAGGGAGAGAGGGACAAAUUCCUCCCACUUGGAACUCUGAAUCUUUUCCAGUUUACAUAGUUACUAAUCCCUAGUUCCUGCAUUUGGCACAGAGCUUUUGAGUCUUAAAAUAUUUAACUUCUGGAAUAAUUGUGGCAAAUAUGCAGUAGGUAAUACAUAUUGUUUCAAGAAUCUGGAGCGGAAAAAAGUGCUUCUGCACCGAAUACAUGGAAAAAGAUGCAUAAGCAUGUGAAUAUUCUAAAACAAAUUCUCAUCUCAAUACCUUUCGGAAAAUCUUUUUUUUUUUUUCCCUUUCCUUUCUCGCUCUUUUGACGUUUUCAUGUGGGAAAAGUGUUUGUCCUUUUACAAAAGAAGUCAAGAGAACCAUAGUAAUGUCACCUUUGUAGUACACAAUGGAAAAAUUUUGAGGGAUAUGAUCCUUAUAUUUGUUGCAGAAGAUCAUUUAAAAUAGUAAUGUAAUUGUAGAAUUGGCAGGCAGUCUUUUGACCACUGCAUACUAGACAUCUUUUAAUUGAGGUUUAACACUAUUUUCAUGUAAAUUGUAUAGGUAAAAAUCAUAAGGCAGUGAACAAGAACAUUUUUAUGACUUUUGCAUUAUGUAUGCACUUUUUCAGGAGGGAACUGUAAUUGAAACUAAAUCUCAGUAAUGUUGUGUGCAAAGGUUUUUUUUAAUUUUAUUUUUUUCUCAUCGUUUUUCCUUUUUCUUGUUCUAACAGAAACAGUUUUAUUAAUUGAUAAAUUCUAAACCCUCAUCAUGUCUUUCUACAAGCCUUUGUAACUUUAAGGCUUGAAUUUCAAGAUUACGAAUGGGUUAAUUGCUUAAUUGGAGGAACUAUUUUUUAAUGAAAAAAUAUUUUUAGUCCACCUUUUGGUUUCUCCUGAGAAAGCUUUUUUACAAUUAUAUAUUCUAUUCUACAGAUUGAGCUCCUACCACCUCCGGUUGGUGAGGGGUUGUCUUAUGAAGUUUUCCUCAAGGACCUACGCCCAACCUUGGAAUGGUCUCUAGACAAUGGCUGGACCGUGCCCACUUCUGUAUUGUCUCUUUCUCCUAUGUCUACAUUUUUAUGCUUGUCUGUAUUCUUUUUCAUUUUAUUCCUUCAAAAUAUAUUGCUGCUUAAAACCUUAAACCUUUUAUGACUUGUUAAAUGCAUGACACUGGCAUCUUGUUACUUGAAAGGCAAUUUAUAUUGAUAAACAAUUUUAUGAAAGGAGAAGUAAAAGGCCCAAUGGCCUAUGGGCUUAGGCACCUUGUAUUCAAAUGUAGAUGAUAUCCUUCUGCCAUAUGCAGAUACCUUGUAUUCAAAUGUAGAUAAUGAUCCUUUUUCUAUGUGGCCUAGAUACCUUGUACUCAAAUGUUGAUACCAUGUAUUUGACCUUGUAUUCAAAUGUUGAUACCAUGUAUUUGUUUUCCUUACUUGUUGGCAAUGGCUAUCUUUUGAAGGAGAAAGAAAGCAGUUAUUGUGCUCGGAUAAUCAAGCCACUGAAUCCUGUGAAUCAAGGUAGGAGUGCUGCCAGAUGCACCAUGUCUCUGCUCGUUGUUUAAGAGCAGAGCAUGGUAGUCUGGGUGCAUUUCCAUUUCUCUUCUUUUCAUUUUUCGUCCCCCAAUUUCUGGUGCUCUUGUGCUGCUACCGUCUGAUAUUAGUGUUGGCCAAAAGAUGUAGACAACUAGACCUAAGAAUGUAUGUCAUUUUUUUUUUUUUCUUGCAUUCAUGUCUAUGCGACUUACAAUUUCUGAACUCCAAUAUCUAAGUUCCUAUAUGAGGACUAUAAAGCCUGGGAUUAAAUGCAGAAAUUGCUUUUCCUGAUCGAUAUUGUUGUUUCAAUAGAAACUUCCUGUAUGCAAAUUUGCUAUACACUGUGUACUGAUGUUGGUGUGCAGCGAUCCAUUCUCUCUUUAUGGAGGACAUUGUUUGAUUCACUCUGGUUUCAUAGAAUGUGGGAUCUGCAAUAUCAAAUUGUUAGGAUUUAGGAAGUUGUUAUAAAUUGAUAAGGAUUUGAGACUAACCAACAACUUUGAGUAUAUGACAUAUGAUUGCAUAACAAUAAUUUAGUUAACAUAACAGCUUGAAUUCUGCUGGCGGGUGGAGAAACCUACCUGGACUGGGCCUGUCUAUGAUUAUCAGAUUUCAUCUGCUUAUAUAAAUAGAGUCACAAACAUACUUUCAUUUUUGGGCAUUGAGGAAACUCUCAUCCCUGCUAGAAAAUUUGGCUUGAUGCCCCUUGAAGUUGUUUGAUAACCAUUGAAGAGGUAUAAUUGUAAGUGGGAAUAAUGAUCAGGUGCGGGCAGUUGCACACCUUAUAGAGCGUGACUGUGCUCAGCUGAUCAGAACCCUGUUAGUAUAUACUGAUAGGGUAGUAUCAGCUUUCAAUGAGAAGUUCUAAUAUUAACCUAUCUUCUGGCUUACAAGAAGGAUCUAAUUUAAUUUUUAUUAUGGUUUGAAUUUUUAAAUUUGAUGGGAACUUCUGUUUCUGCAGAGGGCUCUCAAAACUUGAUGGUCCCUCCAGUAGAAAUGACAGAGAAUGCUCAGCCAACAGCUGGACCAUCACCUGAAUGUAAUGCUUCAUUUUCUUCUCGUAUGUCGACUAGUUCACUACCAUCUCUGGACAAAUCAGAGCGACAUGCAAAGCGACCUUUGAGCCCUGCGGCUUCUAAGGAGAUGCAUGCACUGGAAACAAAAAUGGGCUUUGAUGCGGUGGAUUCAGGCAUUGGGAAAUCAAGUUAUUCAGAUAGUGUUUCAAGUUCACAAAUUAGAGAUGCAGCAACUGAAAUGCCUGAUACUGAUGCCGGAAACAAAAGUUGUGAGAAUAGUGGAUCCUCAAAGAAGAUGAGAUACGAUAGAAGCAUUCCUUUAAAUUCGUCAUUUUCUGAUACAAUAGAAGCAGCAAUCUUAGACUAUGAGGAACUUGUAAACCGGGUUAAAUGGAUCAAGGCUAUCUUACAGUCGGGGACUAUUCCAUCGAAUACCGUGCGACCAACGUGGAAAUUUUUGGAGCACCGAUCAUCAAAAAAGAAGGUUAGCUUGCUUAAAUGACUACCUUUAGACUUCAGUGUGAAUGUCUGCAUUAGUAAAAAAAAAAAAAAAUUAAUGUGCUGUUCUCUCUUAAUCGAUUUUGGUCCUAUUGAUAUUCCAGGAUUAAGAUUGAAUCUCUAGCUGAGCUUGGGACCUUUCAACACCCGUUUAAAUCACUCUUUGGAAACAGAGAGGAUGGGAAACUGAAGUUAAUUAGUAAGUUUUCCCUUCUGAUUUGCCUACCGGAACAAAGUUUGUCGGUUCUAUGCAUACUCCUGACUAUUGGUGAUGGAAUGAAUUAUCAGCUUUUAGAAGACAUUAUUUUCACUUCAAGAAGAGUUAUCGGGAGCAGUUCUGGGUCUGUUUUCGCUUGGGCGGUUUCUUUUGCCAGGUGUAAUAUCUGCUUGGUUGUACAACAACUAACCUUUGAAAGGAUUGAUACAUACAUACAUACAUACAUAUACACACACAAAUGUGUCAACCAUGUUGGAUUUUAUUCCAAGCUUAUUUUUUUGGACCUGCAUACAUACAUUUGUUAUUCACACGCAAACGUGUCAACCAUGUUGGAUUUUAUUUCAAGGCUAUAUUUUUGGAACUACAAGCUUAUACGGGCAUGUUUUGGUAUCAAUUUGGAAAUUUAGUCAAUUCAGGGUAGAUUGUUGGCAAAUUCAAUCAAAUAUUCAAAUCCACAAACACAAAAUAAUAAUAAUAAUAAUAAUGAUAAUGUUGUCAAAAGAAAUAUGUUCUUAAUGGGAUUAGUUGAUAAAAUUUUGUCUUAUUACUUGAAGUAACACCAAGCCCUCGAGGGGUCUGCUAAGAUGUUCUUAAUGGGAUCAGUUGAUAAAAUUGUGUCGUCAUGUCUCUUAUGUGGUUAAAAAAAUCACUUUUAAGAUAUGGAUUAAAUUAAAUUAAAUUAAAUUAAAUUAACUGAAAAAUGAGGGUGCUUGAGAGGCGAGGAUAACCGGUGACCGCGAGACACCUGUCAGGUGCCAGCAGCUCACCCCCUAAACAUCCUCUCAGGGGCCAAUUUCGUCGACUUUGGAAAUCACACGCGCCGGGCGUCGACGUUUCUUUUUUAAACCGCACGGGGGAAACACCGGACAAAGACCCCACAAAUUGCCCGCUAAGGGAAGGGUUUAGGGUUUAAUAAAGGCACGGGCAAUUUCCAAACCCCACACCCCCCAGCAUGCCUUGCUCGCUUCCUCACUCUCCUAAUAAAAAAUGUACAAACACAUAAAUCUAUCGAUGUGGGAUUCUUCUGCCGUUUCUCUGCACCGAGCCCCAAUUCGCUUAGCGAAACACAAAUUUAAUAGUUAUUCUUCAUGGAUGACGUUAGUUUGUUGGAGGACAUAAAAGUAAUUUUCUUUUAAAUUUGUUAUUAUUAUUAUUAUUUUUGGCGUAGAAAAUUUCUCUAUGGUCCAAAAUUUUAGAUACUGUCACGGAUACGCAACGAAAUAUUGUCGGAGUAGAGCGACAAAACAUUUUUUUAUCAUAUGUGGGCUCUUCUAUGGUUGAAAAAUAAAAGACGUCUGUGUUUUUUCGGCCUUUUGGAUAGUGUUAGUACUCUAGUGGUGUUUGGGCAACCUCGUGAUUCCCUUAGCGACUUGCUAUCGGGCCGCCAAAAUUUGUUUGUCUUUUCGUAUGUUCUGAUGCUGCCUUUGUAAUGAUUAACGUAUUUGAUUUUGGAAACCUCUCUCACUGUUAAAAGUGAUUGAAACCCUUUAAAAUGAUUAAUAUGUUUCGGUAUUUGUUUUGAAAACCUCUUCUCCCUGUUAAGUAAUUAAUUCAUUGAACAAUUAUCUUUGGUUUCGCCUCUGUGAGGUCAUAGUGAAUGUACAAUCCCAACUUCACUUGAAGAAAAUCCAAUAAGAGCAAGUUGUUGAUUCAUUCACUUACUCAGAAUCCCUUGGAUCUAUUAUUGCAUGUCACACCCCACCUGUUUGCAAUUGAACAACUCUUUGAAAAGCCAUGAUACUUUAGACCACGUGAAGAAAUUUUUUUUUGAUAGAAUGUUAAUACAAACAAUAUAUGAUUAGGCGGCUGGAUUUAAUAUGUUAAUUGAAAAAUAUUAAAAAGACAAAGAAAAUUGACGGUGCGUUUGGAUUAAGUUUAGAUAGCUGUAACCUUUAAAGUGUAACACUAAAAUACUUGGUAAACACUAGUUGUUGUAGCUUGGAAUAUAUGCUGAUAUGAUUUUUCACUUGUAUAAUGAAAAAUCUAUUGUAUCUUUAAUAAUUUUAUGAAAAUUAUUAUUUUAAAUUUACAUUUACAAUAUAUUACUAACUUUUAUUUCAUAGUUAAAUUUUUUUUUCCACAAUAACUAUAACUUAAAAUAUACAACAUCUCAAUUUCAUACGCAUCCUAAGUAUGGUGUUAUUAACUUGUUUCUGUCGGCACUCUAUCAACCUUUAAUUUCUUUAGUAUUUUGACUCUCUUUAAAAGCAAAGCACAUAUGUACUUUAUGGACCAACUCUAAGCUAAGGAUGAGAGCAAACAAAGCCAUGGAGAAACAACAAAACUCUCUCCCACUUCACGUUAGCCAUGUUAAAAAAUCCUCCUUAAUAAUCAAUAGGUCAUUGGUACUGCUUCAUUUUACAUCCUUAGCUUUCUUGGUGUACUACAGAGUCUCUUAUUUCUUCCAAGUAUCCAACGCCAGAGCCGCGCCGCUGUUGCCAUGGCUUCUAGUCUUUGCUGCCGAGCUUCUCCUCUCCUUUCAGUGGCUCCUAGGCAUAGCUUAUCGCUGGCGUCCCAUUUCUCGUACCGUUUUCCCCGAAAGGUUACCGGAAGCCGAUCAACUUCCGGGUAUCGAUGUGUUUAUUUGCACUGCGGAUCCGACUAAAGAGCCAACUGUGGAGGUAAUGAAUACGGUUUUGUCAGCUAUGGCGCUUGAUUAUCCGCCAGAGAAGCUGCAUGUUUACCUUUCAGACGAUGGAGGUGCUUCUAUAACUUUGCUUGGUAUGAGGGAAGCUUGGAAGUUUGCAAGAUCGUGGCUUCCGUUUUGUAAGAGGUUUGGGAUCAAAACAAUAUGCCCUGAAGCUUAUUUUUCUGAUCCAGAGAAUGGUGAUGGUGACUCUGGAAAUGCUGAGUUCAUUGUUGAGAGGGAAAAGAUUAAGGUUCGUUUGUUAUUAUUACUGUUAUUAUGAUACUAAAAUCUUAGUCCUGAAAAUCUGAAGUAGAAAGAGAUUUAAGAAAUAUGUUGAAACCUUCUAACUUAUUUAGGUUGAAAAAGAAUAAUUUUAAUGCCAUUUUUCUAAGAUGCUUUUUAAAUCGUUUGUUUUUGUUUUUUGAGUGCAUAGACAUUCUAUUGAGAUAGAUUUGUUGAUUGCAAAUGCUUUUGGUGCAGGAAAAAUACACUGAGUUCAAGGAACGGGUAACGAGAGCCAUUGAAAAAUGGGGGCUAGAGAACGAAGGCAUUUCCAGAAGUCGAGAUCAUCCUUCUGUGGUUGAGGUAUAAUAAUAUGAUGAAAAUAUCCAUUCCCAUACGCUUGAUCAAUAAUGCUAUAAUUUGACUUUGACUUUUUUUUUUUUGGGGUUAAAGUAGCAUAGUGAUUUUGACUCUUUUGGCAUCACAGCAUUGAAUCCUACUUUCACAGACAGAGACCCUCAUAAAAAAUAACAAAGAGAGAUAAGGAUUAAACUAAAAUUUUACUCAUUUAAUGUUUGGUCCUUAUCGAUUCACUUUUUUUAUGACAUAUGACUUCUCUUGAGUUUGUUAUUGUUAUAUUAUGGUCCCUAUCGGAUCAAAAUUUUAGUUGCAGCCAAAAAUUGAGAAUCCGGAGGGACCAAAAGUCAUAAGAGUAAACUUUUAAGAGUGUAAACUUUUAAGAGUCGCAAUUAAAAAGAAAAAAAAAAAGAGUAAACAUAUUAAAAUAAGGGUAAAAUAUCAAGUUGACAAAAUCAUAGGGCCAAUUCUUAAAAGAGUUAUUAACAACUUAAUAUGUGUUUUUUUUUUUUUUUUGGGUGUUUUCGCUAUUGAGUAUACUUAACGACACGACUGGUGAUUUCAUUUUUCUGCAGAAUCUGGCUAUUAAAUUAUAUAUAAUCGGUUCACAUAUACGCAUAUUUUUCAGGUGAUAGGAGAAAACGAUAAUGAAGCAGCGAAUGAGGAACAACAAAUGAAUAAUAAGAUGCCUCUCCUUGUCUAUGUUGCUCGCGAGAAAAGGCCUUCUCAUCCACACAAUUUCAAGGCUGGAGCCUUAAACGUUCUUGUAUGAUCUUCUCUAAUCAUUCACACUCACACACACAUGGUGCAUAAUUUAAUUGCAUGCAUAUGCUUAAUAGAAGCUGUUGUUGAUGUUGUAGCUUCGGGUUUCCGGUGUAAUGAGCAACUCUCCCUAUAUAUUGAUGCUAGACUGUGACAUGUAUUGCAAUGACCCAACUUCGGCUAGGCAAGCCAUGUGUUUCCACAUUGAUCCCAAAAUCUCUUCCUCGUUAGCAUUCGUUCAGUUUCCUCAGAAAUUUCAUAACAUCAGUCAGGAUGAUAUUUAUGACAGCCAGCUCCGAUAUAUAUUCUGGGUAUGACCAUAUUGAACCCUUCUGGUGCCGGCGUGCGUACCCAAAGGAUAAUUAUUUGCCGUUCAUUAGGCUGCUUAAUUACAUUUUUGUCAUCACUCAUUUGAUUGCUAAUUUGAAUUUUUUUUUGUUGGUAAUUUACCAUUUUAGUCAUUAUGGUACGGUAUGGAUGGGCUAAAGGGACCGAUCGUGUCUGGUACAAACUUUUACAUGAAGAGGGAGGCACUUUACAGCGUUUCUAUGCAAGAAGGUAAAUUUGCUAGCAACUAAUUGAUGUGCAUAUAUCAAUUAAUAAUGUAACAUGUUUGUUAAAAUAAUAAUAAUAAUUGCUAUUUUCACUUAACUUUUAUUAUUGCAACAUUUAAAGUUUGUAGUUCUUGUUUAUUAUAAUAAACAGGCAUUGACCUCACAGAGCUGAAGAAUUCUUUUGGUCCAUCCAAUGAGUUCCUCAAAUCUCUUCGUCGAAACUCCAAGCCAAGCAGAUAUGAUAAUGAUUCAUCAAGCACUUUGCUACAAGAGAGCAAAUUUUUGGCCUCAUGUGCCUACGAAAGUAACUCAAAAUGGGGUGAAAAGGCAUGUGUCUAUCGUACAUAAUCAAUACCUAAAGGAACUAAUUAAAUUAUUGUGAUGACACAUUGUGUUUAUUUACUAACCAAAGCUAUCUAGCUUUUAACAUGCAGGUUGGUUUUAUGUAUCAUUCUCUUGUUGAAGAUUACUUCACAGGAUUUAAACAACUACACUGCAAAGGAUGGAGAUCGGUGUAUCUUAACCCGGAAAGGCCGCAAUUUUUGGGCACUUCUACAACAAACUUAAAUGACUCGUUGGUUCAAGGCACGAGAUGGAGUUCGGGAUUGGUUCAAGUAGCAAUCUCAAAGUAUUGCCCUCUGAUAUAUGGACCACCGAGGAUGUCUUUGCUUGAAAGCAUGGCCUAUGCUGACCUUGGAAUGUUCCCUCUUCUUAAUUGCUUGCCUCUGUGGUGCUUUGCCACCGUCCCUCAACUCUGCCUAUUGCAUGGCAUCCCAUUGUACCCUGAGGUAAUUCAUAUGUUAUUUGAAUAUAUAACAUUGGUACCUCUAAUGUAUUUACACAAGGUUUUCUACUCUUUACGAUACAUUCUUUUCUUUUCGUCUUAGCUAUUAAUUAAUGUCAAUCUAUUGCGCUUUCCCAUGCAGGUUUCAAGUUCAUCUUUCCCCAUAUUCGUAUUCGUUUUCCUGUCGGCGCUUUCGAAACAUCUAUACGAGGUUCUUUCAACUAGUGGAUCAAUCAAGAUAUGGAGAAAUGAACAGAGAAUAUGGAUGAUAAGGGCAGUCACAUGCCAACUUUAUGGAAGCUUAAAUGCCAUUAUGCACAAGCUUGGCUUAGCUGAAGCCAGUUUCUCGGCCACAAAUAAAGUCGCGGAUGAUGAACAAGUGAAGCUCUACGGAAUGGGCAAGUUCGAUUUCCGAACAUCAAAAAUGUUUCUUGCUCCUCUGGUUACAAUCAUCUUGUUGAACAUUGCAGCCUUUGUUUGCGGAGCUAUCAGAUCAACGAUCAUCAAAGGAGAUUGGGACAAGAUGUUUGUGCAAAUUUCUCUGCCGUUUUAUAUCUUGGUUAUGAAUUAUGCUAUCAUUGAAGGGAUGAUUGUGAGGAAGGACAAUGGCCGCAUUCCGCCAUCUGUCACUCUAUCGUCCGCUUUGCUUUCUGGGAUUUUCUUGCCUUUGGUAUCAAUAAUUCUCAGGCACUAAGUGACAUUAAUUUGUAGUGUGUGGUCUAUUUUCUUAAAUAGUUUCUCUAUCAAAUGUUCAGUUGAUUUAAGAUCUUGACUUCUCGAUUUUGAUUAUGAUUUGCUUUCAGGGUCUGUUAUUGUUUCGUUAAGUCUCUUGACCAACAUAAAAUCAUUUCCCUAUCAAAUGCAUCAAGUCAUUCAUCCGUUUUGUGAGUACCAAUUAGUUGAGGUGAUAAAAUCUUGUGUUAAAAAUUAGACGUUUAGGGUCUGAACCCGCUCCGCUCACAUUAAUUGGACGACAAAGUAAAUGGUCAAUUUUGGUUUUGCACCAACACGUAAAUCUGCACAACUAUCCGAAAAAGCAAGAAAAUUAGAUUCAUUGGUUGAUGUGCUUCUUCUCAGAGUUUCCGCGAAGUUGAUAAAUAUGCAAUGAAUUGACCCUUGGUUAUUUGGCUCUAAUAUAAAUAUUACAUGGACUUAUUGAACGAAGGUUUUUGCUACCUUACAUGCAUGUAAGGUACAGUCUCUCACAAAAUUAGUGGACUCAAGUGAAACCCACAUUUAAAUUUUGUGUGAGGGCUGUACCUUACGUGUAUGUAAGGUAGCAGCUCCCACGAACGAAACGUAUUAUUAUUGUCUACAAGUAUGUUGUGUCAUUACAAAUCAAUAAGCUAAUGACACUUGGAAACCUUUAUCUCAGGUAAUUAUUAUUGUCCAUCCAAAAUUUGCGUGGCAGUGUUCUCAGCCGUUGGCCGAAAAAGCUUGGAAAAUCAGAAUAACUAGCUUAAUUAUAGCAAUGAAAUUCUUUCAUUAAUCUUUCUUGUCGCGUCAAGUCACUCUCUGGAAAGGCACCUCCGCCCGCUUUGAAUGGGAUGGGAGAUUGAUAUUUUCUCUCUACAGUUUGAAAUGUUUUCCAUUUAAUAUCUCUUUCAAAUUUUACAAUAUUUCAAUCACUCUUGUGAUGUCGAAAUCAAAAAAAAAAAAAAUUGAUGAGUUUUUCAACGAAAGCUUUUGUAUUUGGGGUUGGGAACUACAGAGUACGAACACUCUCACGAGUCAAGAGGGUGAUUGGUCAUGCGUGGGGCAUGCAAAGUUAUUAUUGUGGCGAAGACUUUGGGAUAUUAUUGAGUACGGUUUGUUGAAUACGUGUUCAUUAGUUAAUUAGUUUAAAAUUAAGUUGAGUAGUGAUUAUUUUAUUUUAAAUAAUCUUUGAUUAUUUUGUUGCCAUUAAGUAGUGGUUAAUGUUCUAUUUUUUAAGGAUAUUUUUUAGGAAUUAAGAAUAGUUGUUAAUUUUUUUUGUAUUUAAAUUUUUUGACAAUCAUUAAUUAUGAAAGUUGAAUUCAAUUAAAAUUAUUGUAAUUUUUUCUUAUCUUAAGAGAAUAUUAUCGUUACUAUAUAAUUUACGACUUUGACUGGGACCUAUCGGAGGGUAAGUGUUAAACUUUGAAAUCUGUCGAGAGAAGGGGUCGCGUCAUUCUCCCACCUAUAAUUAUAUAUGUUAGUCUUGUCCAUGGAUGUAAAAUGAAUGCAGGCGGAGACGUAACUAGAACAUCGGAGGUCAAAAGUAAAAUAAUCACAAUGUCAAUUUUUAUGCCUUCUUAGGCUCAGGUUUUGGAUUCCAACUUCGACAAGUUGCGUGAGUGAGUGAGUUAAUAAUAAUAAUUGGCGGAAAAAAAAAAAAAACUGAGUGAGUUAAUAAUAAUAAUUGGCGGAUAAUUGGCGGAAAAAAAAAAAAAACUUAUCCAUCAUGCCUUCUUGGCAUGAUAGAUAAGCACUGUCUCAUUAUAUUUGUCUGAUUUUGUUGGAAGUUGCGAAGAAAUAUUAAUCAUUGUCAAUUGAAAGUUCUUUUUUUAUUUUUUAUUUGUCUAAUUUUGUUGGUAUAUAUAGUGAUUUUGAACAAAAGAAAAUUUUAAAUUUUUUAUUCAAGUUUAUUUUAUUUGAGGUGUUCUUGAAACAAGGAUGCCAAUGUCUAUUGGUACUGUGCUCGAAUGCCUGCAUGUAUAUUUUGUUAAUUUGGCAGGAAGAGAUUGAUUUAGGUGUGUGCGAUGUCGAUCCUUUGAGCUUGGUUACUAAUAUUACUCCAUAAUUUAUAAUCAAUUAUUGAAUUAAUUUGAUCAUUAAGGGUAUAUAAGUUAUUUCACCUGAUUUGUGUUUUCAAAAAAUUUAAAUCUUAUGACUAACAUCAAAAUUAAGGUUAAAAUAGUAAAAUUAUAAAUAAAGUUAACACCGUUAUAAUUAUAGGGGGUUUGGACCUAUUCUAAAAUCUAAGGAGGAUUUCGCUUAAUUUCUCCAAACAACAUAAAGAUAAUCCCUAUUUUCCUUAGUGAAGAGGCAAAUGAUUUGUAUAAUACAAUGUGCAUUUGUCCUUUGUAUCAAAGAAAAUAUGAAACAUAAAACUAAACAUUUUUCUUGAACACAUAGAACGUGGACAUCGACUCUGACACUUUUGUUUGACGCACUAGAGUUUUUCUUAUAUUUUGACUAUUAGGAUUUGGCUAUGAUUCUUGUCCAUUAAUGCUGUAGAUAAGGAGAUAAAAAUCUUUUAAGAAAAAUCAAUGAAUUGUGUUGUGGGAAAGACUUCAGAUUUUGGUAUAUCCAACCUUAUAGUAACUCCUCAUUGCAACCACAUGUCACACAACUCAGUAUUUAUUUUAUUAUUUUAUAGGGUGAGACUAUUUGAAUCCAUAUUUAUACUCGUUAUACCUAUUUGAUAAUAAAAUUUUAUAUCACAAAAAUAUCCUCAUAUAUAAUUACGAACCAAUCCUCUUUUAAUUUCUUAUCUCUCUUGCAUCCGGCUUUGUGUAUAUUUUCUCAUUAAAUUGAUUUUCGUUAAGGUAGAAAAAUGCUAUUCCAUGAAAUUAUACAAUUUAUUAAUAGCUAAUUCAAUUAUAGAUGCUAUCGAAAUUAAAAAUAAUCUCUUGGUUACCAUAAGAAAAUUGAUUUUUUUUUCCAGAAAACAAUUAUAAACUACCACUCCACUCCUUUCCGGUCCAAAAUAUUUGCGGGUGAACCAAUAUUUUUCCAAGGCACUAGUUUCAUAUUUUUAAAAUGUUUGCAAUUGGUCAACUCAUUAACUUUCCUGUUGGGGUAAAAAAAAAAGUAUCAAAAUAGUUACCAUUAUAACUUCUAUCCAUUCUUGUAUUUGGGAAGAUAUUUGAUAUAUUUAUUAUUUUUUGGGUUAGAUUGGGGAGAGAAAUUUUUCCCCCCACUCCAAAAGUAUUAGAAUUUUCGGCAAAAUUCUUGCUGGUUGCUGCAAUUUCAGAUUUCGUUUAUAUUCGUGUGGAAGUAUUUUUUGGAAGCAAAUGCAUGAGAGAAGCAGAUGAACGAAGAAGGGUUAGUUUUGGAAUAUGUAAGGGUUUGUUCAGUAAAAAUGGAUGUUUUCAAUUGUAGUGAUGGGUGUAUAAAGAAGAAGAGUUUAAAGAAUAAAAAAUUGGGUUCAAAUAGUCUUACACCAUUUUAUAAGUAAGUUAUUACACUCUAAUUCUCAAUUCCAAAAUUUUGACAGUAAUGACAUUUUGUUUCUUUUCAAAUCGCGGCAUUUCUGUUUUCUUCUAAUAAAGGGCUUGGUAUAAAAAGAAAUCGGGCUGAUCUCGCCUUUCAAUGGGCUGAGCCCACAAAAUACAAGGCCCAUGAGUGUUGAGAGCGGAUUAAUGAAUCACAGCCACGCGCCCCGCGUGGGGAUUUUAAAAUUGAAACGAACCGAAAGGGAUCCCUCUACCGCCUGUCCAAAAUUCAAAAAUUUCAAUGUGUGUAUUCCGAUCUCCAUCUCAAUCACACAUUUGAUUGGAGAAAGAACAACAUUCAUGGAGCCACCGGCUAUGAAGCUGAUCAUGGUCCGGGGCCCACGCUCGGGCGAAACCAUAGAAUUCAAACCCGGAUCCAAAAUCCGAAUCGGCCGAAUCGUGCGCGGCAAUGAUGUCACCAUCAAGGACGAAGGCAUCUCGUCUAAGCACCUCAUUAUCGAAUCCGUGUCCGGUAAAUGGACCAUCCGAGACCUGGAUUCCUGCAACGGCACCUUUCUCAACUCUACGACGCUUCCACCCAACACCCCCUUCGAUCUCCGCGAAAACGACACCAUCAAACUCGGAGAUUGCACCACCAUCUCGGUCCAGAUCAUCACGAUGGACAGCCAGGAUGAGUCGGUCGCGAAGCCGAAGAGGAAUCCGAGGCGUCAAGCGAAUGUGCCCGGGACUUCCAGUGUGAGAGCGACUAGGGGUCGUAAGAAGGCGGAGGCGGAACCCGUCGAGACUUUGGGAUUAGAAGGUGGACAGAUUGAAGAUCAGAGUAAAAUUGCCAUAAAGGGUAGGGGAAGGAACAAGAAUUUACAAGAAAUGCCACCGGAGAGUGUCGAAGUUCAAAUUGAAAGCAAGGAGAAUUUGGAACUAGAAGAGGGUGGAGAGAUUGAGAGUGAGAGUAAACUUACCAAAAAGGGUAGGGAAAGGAGCAAAGAUUUACAGGAAAUGCCACUGGAUGGCGGCAAAGUUAAAAUUGAGAGUGAAGAGAAUUUGGAACCUCUUGAAGUACUUGGAGUUCAAGUUGAUUGUAGAGAAAAUUUUAGACCAGGUAAGGAAACAUCGAAGAAGUGUCAAGUUCAAGUUGAUGGUAAGGAAAAGACGAAUGUGACCCUGACUGCUAGUGUGAGAGUCACUCGGAGCCGGAUGAACGCAUUGAAUUUGGGAUUUGAUUGUGGAGAGAUGGCAGCGACUGAGAGUAAAAUUACUCGAAAAGGUAGAGGAAGGAAGAAGAAAUUACAGGAAAUGCCACCGCAGAGUAGUGAAGUUGAAACUGAAGGGAAGGAACGUCUGGUUCCAGAAGAAGUUUCCAAGACUUGUGAAGUUCAAGCUGAUGGUAACGAAAACUUGAAAUCAGAGGAAGUGGCCAAAGAAGGAGAUGCUAAAGAAACUUGUGAUAAGGUUGAGGAUAAAGUGGACAAUGGGGUUCAAGAGCAGAAGGUGGAUUUGGCGAAGAUGACACUGGGGGAGUGGUUUGAUUAUGUGGAGGUUUAUAUGCGGAAGCAGAUCCUUAAUACGACAGAGGAGAUGAUAGAGGAGAUGAAAAAUAAAGCUGAGAGAGUUCACAAGUACAUGAUUGAGGAGAAGAAGAAGAAGAAGAUGGAUAAACUUUGAGAGAUAUGCACAUUAUUAUUCAUUUUUGGUAGUUUUAGAAAUAUGUAUUUGUGUUUCCUCUGAUUUUAGAGUUAAUGCAAAUUUUAAUGUAGUUGUUGCACAGUGUAUCUUUAUGUCGCACGCGUUUAUCAUUUGGACUUCCUAGAUGUUAUGCAAUAAGUAGUUCCCUUGUAUAAGUACUAUUACUGUUUGAAGUAUCAGAAAUGGAGGGAAACUUUCACUUGCCUAUGAGAUUAGUUGUUGUCGUAGGCAACUCACCAUGCUUGAGUACUUCAAAUUAGGAAAAUGAAUGUGAUGGAAGCUGGAAAGAGUCACUAAUUACGCUAGAGUAGAAUUAGCGUGUAUUAGGAUUAGGAUAGGUCCUUGUUAUCAACUAUUAAUCCUCUUGUGCCAGCUAAGUUCUUCAUAUCCUAAGUCAUUUCAUAAAUGGGCUUAUAUUUAUUUGAUCUGAGGAAUCUGUGACCAAUGAAAUAUAUCUGUUGAUGAAACAUAGUGUAUUAUCAGAUAAUUAACAAAGAAUAUGCUGUUAGAUAAGUGGUAAUACUAUCCUGACCUUUCCAACUUCUUGGGUGAUAAUGUUUUGUUAAGUUGAAAUUGACAAUAAUAUAGUCAUCAGUCCUCCCAAAUCACAAGACUUACAUAUAUUGUGAUUUUAGAUAUUCUUUUUCAGGGGCAGAUCUGGUGCUAAAUUUGAAAGGAAAUCUCCUCAUUUUGGUCCAAAGGAGUGCAAAAUGCACUUUGCAGCUAAGUUCACCGAGCCACUGAUUUUCUGAGAAUCAAGUCUAAUGGUAUUAUGUUCUGCUGAUUUUUGUCCUAAGUCUAUUUUUGGUAAAUGCCUUAGUUUCGAAAUGCUCCUGUUAGCUGAAAUCUCCUCCAAUUUCAUGGAUAACUCUUUAGCAUAAUUUGUAAAAUCUAGCUUACUAAUAGAAACUGAUUGAAAACUCAAGGAUGGUUUCAGUUUAUGAUUUUUGCAUUUGUGAUCGUAACCUUUAAAUUUUGUAUAAAAUGCUGUAGUUGAUUCCUUGAAGUUGACUGUUAUGCCUUUAUUUAAAUUUGGGGUUCAUUGUAGUUCGUGCACAUAAUGCUUAAGUGAUUUGGUAAACACUAUCACUAAAGAGUAAAGACUGGAAAAUAUGAACUUCUUCUAGUAUAAAAAUAUCAAUUUCAAAUUACUCUUGAGUUAUUUAAACUAGGUACCGCAUUUGUUCCUAAUUUUAAGGAUAAACUGGAGGGUAGGGGGGGAGAAUUUUUAAUUUUGAAGAAAAAUAUGAAUGGUUAAAUUUUGCUCAAAAUCCUCUGGCAGACCUAGUCAUGUCUCUUUAAAUGAUGAGCGAAGUUUAGAGGAUUAAUAUUGAAGCGGGCGGGGGAAGGGUAAAAUAAUCAAUAAGGCAUUCAAGCUUUGGUUUUAUUUUCAUUUACUUUUCCAAUUUUGAAGUGAAAACUGAAACCUUUGGUCCUCUACUUAUCCAGAUCAGGUAAACUUAUCUACUGUGAAGUUAAUUUUUUUUUUUUCAGAAUUAUGAUAUAAUAUCAACAAAGGUAACCAAUUUUUAGUUGGCAUGGUCAAAUUUAAUUUAAUGGUUGGCUGAUGUGGUAGUCCCCAUUGAAAACUCAUUUUAAUUAUUUAAACUUUAUGAUCUUCACUUUACAUAUUUCCAAAAACGCUCGAUUCCUUACAUUUAGCCCUAUUGAAAAGUCACCAUACCUGAAGGCACCAGGUUGCAGCCUCCAGUGAGUUUUUCCACUCAUUUGCCUCCCUUUUUGACCAAGAAAAGCCGUCAGUUUGAUUUGAAAGCUAGCAAAUCGCAAAUUCACUUCUGUAUUAGGAAGCAAAACAAGAGAAGAACUUGCAAGUUCUAACAGAUUCUGAUUUCUGAUUGGUCAGCUCCUGUGCUGGAACAAAAUAUCUAUGAAGCACCCUGUGGCUCUUAAUCAUUGUUCCAAAUACUUAAAAGGAGACGAGGCAGGUCAUGGGCUCAAGCAUAAGAUAAAGCAAACACUUGCAACCAAGUUUAGAAAUGGAUAGCCCUCUGCCUCUCCAUGUAUGCCAUGUUAACAAUCUUUCAGUGAUAAUUAACAGGCUACAUGCACUCUUGCAUUGCAUAGCUAUAGGUUUCCUGAUCUACUAUAGAGCCUCUUAUCUCUUGCAAGAAACAAGAGCAAUACCAAUUAUCCUAUGGCUUCUAGUCUUUGCCUCUGAGCUGCUUCUUUCUUUUAUAUGGCUGCUUGGCCGAGCUUAUCUCUGGCGUCCGGUUUCUCGAACUGUAUUCCCAGAAAGAUUGCCGGAAGAUGAUAAACUUCCGGCAAUCGAUGUGUUCAUAUGCACUGCAGAUCCAGAAAAGGAACCUGCUAUUGGUGUGAUGAACACUGUGUUAUCAGCCAUGGCGCUGGAUUAUCCGGUGGACAAACUUCACGUUUAUUUAUCCGAUGAUGGGGGUUCUCCUAUAACUUUACAUGGUAUGAGAGAGGCUUGUAGGUUUGCAAAAUGGUGGCUUCCCUUUUGUAGGAGAUAUGGAAUCAAGACAAUAUGCCCACAGGCUUAUUUUUCUGAAGCAGACAGUGAUGAUUAUUUUGGAGAUAGUGAGUUUAUGGUAGAGAAAAAGAAGAUUAAGGUAUGUUGAAAUAAAUUAUAGUGCUACUAUCUAAAAAUUUUUCGUGCUUUUUAUUGAUUUAUAACAAGAUUGCUGUACAAUUGUACUUGAAUACAAUGUAAUCCGAAGGGGCAUGAGCGUGGAUGAUACUUGAUAUGUUACAAAAUUUGGUAAUAGGAAAAGUAUGAGAUGUUUGAGGAACAUGUGACGAAGGCUGUAGAAGAUGGAGAUUAUGGGAACAGCCAAAACCACUCUACUAUUAUUGAGGUAACUUUGUGUCAUACUCUGCCACUUACAAGUUUAAGUUACUUUAUUUAACAUCUAAUUCAAUUGGAUUCCAGCAGAUAAUACAAGAUACUUCUGGUGAGAGUGAGACAAUUAGGCAAGCAGAUCUUGUUGAAAUGCCUUUGCUUAUUUAUGUUUCUCGUGAGAAAAGGCCUGAUCAUCUUCAUCAUUUCAAGGCUGGAGCCCUCAAUGUUCUUGUAUGAAUCAGUAUACGCACAACCUACAGAUUAUACUUGUUUGUAUUUAAAAUGCUCUGAUUAACAUUGUUCAAGCUUGCAGCUUCGUGUCUCUGGCGUGAUAAGCAAUUCUCCCUACAUAUUGGGGCUGGACUGUGAUAUGUACUGCAAUGAUCCAACUUCAGCUAGGCAAGCAAUGUGUUUCCACCUUGACCCAAAAAUCUCUUCGUCCUUAGCAUUCGUUCAGUUCCCUCAGAAAUUCCAUAAUAUCAAUAAGUAUGAUAUCUACGAUGGACGGUUUAGAUCUGCAUAUUGCGUAAGUAAAUUAAAGCCUAUCUACUAUCACCUUAUGCAGAUAAAUGAGCAAAUAUUAAACCACUAGAUGUAGCAAUUAUGUACAUAUAAGUUUUUGUUAUUUAUGCAUUCCACAAUCAAGGUACAAUGGCAAGGUAUGGAUGGGUUGAAGGGACCAGUCUUGUCUGGCACCGGCUAUUAUAUAAAGAGGGAGUCACUGUAUGCCGAUUUCACACAUACUGGUACCUUCAUUUGCCGACUUUCUUACAAAUUGAUGUUAAAAAUUUAAAAAUAAAUAGCAUUUCCACCCUUGAAGUCUUGUCUUUAUUGGAAAUCAUAAAAUUUUUAGCAUAAAACAUAGAAGUCAGCAAUCUAAAGUCCUAAAGAUGGUUGAAGAACACAGUUCAUUACUCGAUAGUAAUUUUUUAUUUUUUAUUUUUUUGGUUUAAUGAACAGUUAAUGACAUUUCAGAACUUAAAGACACUUUCGGAAAAUCCAAUGUGCUCAUCAAUUCUCUCCAUCAAAGCUACAAGCAAAACAAUGCCAAUGGUGAAAACUUUUCCAACGUUCUGCAAGAGGAGACUGGAGUUUUAGCCUCCUGCAGUUAUGAGCAUCAAACAAAAUGGGGUGAAGAGGCAAGCAUCAAGCAUAUCAACUUAUACAUAGUCAAACCUUAAUUGCAUUGCUAAAUCAUUAUCACAUAGCAUAACACAUUAUCUCUCCUUGCAUUUGAUAUCAGGUAGGCAUUUUGUAUCAAUCUGUUUCGGAAGAUUUAUUUACAGGAUUCAUUUUACACUGCAAAGGCUGGACCUCGACGUAUCUUACCCCAUUCAGGCCACAGUUUCUGGGUACUUCAACCACAAACUUGAAUGAUCUGCUGAUUCAAGGUACCAGAUGGGGCUCUGGGUUGACUGAUGUUGGUCUUUCGAGAUUCUGCCCUCUACUUUAUGGACCAUCAAGGAUGUCUUUACUUCAGAGCAUGUGCUAUGGAGAGCUAUCUUUCUUCCCUCUUCUUUAUUGCUUGCCUCUAUGGUGUCUUGCUACUCUUCCUCAGUUGUGUCUGUUAAAUGGCAUCUCUCUGUACCCUGAGGUAACAACUAAUAAUACUAGGAGUGCCUUCAAAAACAUUGAAAACUUACCUGCUGAACAAGUUGUUAAUAAUUUUAUAGACAAUAAAAUAGAUGUUAUGUUUUUUUUCUUUAUCCACAGGUUUCAAGCCCGUCUUUUAUCGUAUUUUCAUUCAUUUUCAUAUCAGCGAUUUGUAAACACUUGCAAGAGGUCAUUUCCACUGGAGGUUCAAUCUAUACAUGGAGAAAUGAGCAGAGAAUUUGGAUGAUAAAGUCUGUCACAGCUCAUUUCUAUGGAAGUAUGGAUACUAUUUUGAAACUUCUUGGCUUGAGGAAAGCCAGUUUCCUGCCAACCAACAAGGUUUUGGAUAAAGAACAAGUCAAAAGAUAUGAAAUAGGCCAAUUUGAUUUUCAAACAUCCUCUAUGUUUCUUGUUCCAAUGGUUUCUUUGAUGAUUCUGAACAUGGCAGCCUUGCUUUUUGGGUUUAUCAGAAUAAUUGCUGUGGGCAACUGGGACAAAUUAUUUGCGCAGGUGUUGCUCUCACUCUACAUCUUGAUCAUCAAUUUUGCAAUUGUUGAAGGGAUGAUAGUGAGAAAGGACAAGGGAAGGAUUUCAACAUCAGCCAUUUUAUUAUCAAGUGUAUUUUCCGUGAUUUUAUUGUUCUUUGGGUCUAUCAUUCUUAUGUAGCUAUAAGCAAAAUGUAGAGUGUUUCAUUUUAUCUUAAUUGCCACAGGCAAAGCAAAUAAAAUAAUUAAAUUUUUGUUUGGUAUUGAAGUGAGGUGCUGUAGAAAAAAAAAUUAUAAAUAUAAAAUAAAAGUUAAUAGUAUGUAAUAAAUAUAAUAUUUAAGUAAUAAUUUUGAUAAAUUUAGUAAAGAUAUAAUAAAUUUUUCAUUAUACAAGUAUAGAAUUAAUUUACUUUAGUUUUCAAGUAACAGUAAUUAUUUUUUGUCAAAUACUUUAAAAAUUACAGUUAUUCAACUUGAAUUUCAAAUAGAAUUAAAAUUUCGUUAAAAAAAUAAAAUAUUUUUGCAAUGAUAUUGAAACCUUGAAAUCUUAAACAUAACAAAGACUCGAGAGACAGUCCUAAGUGAUUCGGACAUGUCGUAUUGUUUUAUCAACAUCUACGCAAACUUUUCAACUUCGCUACUUAUUUCUCGCAGUACACGUUUACAAGAUUAAGCUCUUAAGUGAAACCUCCAUCAAUGCUCGGGCAGCAGCAGCACAAUCGCAUUUUGCUGAUACAUAGUUAAUACCUAACUAAGUAUUAACGGUCCACUACCACCAUGAAAAGAAGUUUUUACAAAUAUUUACAAGCAUGUAAAUUAAUAGUUAGAAGAUAAAUAAAAAAUUAUUUUAAAUUAUACGGCAUUCAUUAAUUGAUUGAAAAAAUAAUAAAAUUAAUUCACUUGAUUUUGUUAAGAAUUAUCAACAAUUUAUUUAGUGACAUAUUAUUGAAGAUAAAAUUUAAGAUAAAUAAUUUGAAAUUCUAUGAUUACUCUUACGAACAUAUAUAAGAUGUUUAUAUUUAAUUAUUGUAAUUGGGAAUCUCUUCAAUUAUUUAAUUAGCAAGAGAAUAAUUUAAGUCCGAACAUAAAAAUUGAAACUAAAAUAGUAUCAAAAAAAAUUUAAUGGGUUCAAAUAACUCCAUCCACUUUACUUUUUAUUUUUUAUUUUUAUUAUUUCAAGGAUAAGCAUAAUGCAUUUACUUUACCACUACCUGUACUAUUUUGGUAAAAUAUCAACUACCGUAACCAAUUUGAAGGAGAGUGAUUUGCACAGGACAGGUCAAAGUGGGAUCCUCCGUUAUUUAUUUAUUUAUAAUUUAGUUAGUCUCACUUCCCACUUUGAAACCCAUUAUUCUACGAAAUGAAAAGUUUCAUUGGAUGAGCAUAUCAUCUGAACAAGGCCUGUCUUGUACAAGUUUUUCUUACAUGUAAGCUCUGUUUGAAAGGUCAACGUACCUGAAGGCACCUCUGUCAGCAGCAGCCAGCAGCAAUCCAGUGAGUGGAAAGAUUUUUUUUUUGGAUGAGGUGAGCUUGCCGGCCAAGGAAAGCCAUAAAGUUUCCGCUCCUUAUUGACCAAGGAAAGCCAUCAGCUAGGAAGCAUCCUGUGAUUCUUAGUCAUUGUUCCAAUUAUUUAAAAGGAGAUGCUUCGAGCUUGAGAUAAAGCAAACACUUGCAACAAAGUUUAGAAAUGGAUAGCCCUCUUCCUCUCCAUGUAUGCCAUGUUAAUAAUCUUUCAGUGAUACUUAACAAGCUUCAUGCACUCUUGCACUGCAUAGCUAUAGCUUUCCUGAUCUACUAUAGAGCCUCUUAUCUCUUGCAAGAAACCAGAGCAAUAUCAAUUAUUCCAUGGCUUCUAGUCUUUGCCUCUGAGCUGCUUCUUUCUUUUAUAUGGCUCCUUGGCCGAGCUUAUCUCUGGCGUCCGGUUUCUCGGACUGUAUUCCCAGAAAGAUUGCCGGAAGAUGAUAAACUUCCGGCAAUCGAUGUGUUCAUAUGCACUGCAGAUCCAGAAAAGGAACCUACUUUUGGUGUGAUGAACACUGUGUUAUCAGCCAUGGCGCUGGAUUAUCCGGCGGACAAACUUCACGUUUAUUUAUCCGAUGAUGGGGGUUCUCCUAUAACUCUGCGUGGUAUGAGGGAAGCUUUCAGGUUUGCAAAAUGGUGGAUCCCCUUUUGUAGGAGAUAUCGAAUCAAGACAAUAUGCCCGCAGGCUUAUUUUUCUGAAGCAGAGAGUGAUGAAAAUUUUGGUGAUAGUGAGUUUGUGACAGAAAAAAGGAAGAUUAAGGUAAGAUGAAAUAAAUUUAAUUUUGUGCUAUUAUCUAAAAAUUCUUUUCGAGUGUUUUUUAUCGGCUUAUAACAAGAGUGCUGUAAGAUCUUACUUAAAUACAAUGUAAUCCGAAAGGGAAUGAGCAUAGAUAAUGCAUAAUGUGUUGCCAAUUUGGUAACAGGAAAAAUAUGAGAUGUUUGAGGAGCAAGUGAUGAAGGCUGUAGAAGAUGGAGAAUAUGGGAACAGCCGAAACCACUCGACUAUUAUUGAGGUAACUUUUUGUCAUACUCUGCCACUUACAAGUUUAAGUUACUUAAAUAACAUUCUAAUUCAAUUGGAUUCCAGCAGAUAAUACAGGACACUUCUGGUGAGAAUGAGACAAUUAGGCAAGCAGAUCUUGUUGAAAUGCCUCUGCUUGUUUAUGUUUCUCGUGAGAAAAGUCCUGAACAUCUUCAUCAUUUCAAGGGCGGAGCUCUCAAUGUUCUUGUAUGAAUCUCUAUACGCACUACCUAUAGAUUAUGCUUGUAUGUAUGGAGACUGCUCUGAUUAACAUUGUUCAAGCUUGCAGCUUCGUGUCUCUGGCGUAAUAAGCAAUUCCCCCUACAUACUGGGGCUUGACUGUGAUAUGUACUGCAAUGAUCCAACCUCAGCUAGGCAAGCAAUGUGUUUCCACCUUGACCCAAAAACCUCUUCGUCCUUGGCAUUCGUUCAGUUCCCUCAGAAAUUCCAUAAUUUCAAUGAGCAUGAUAUCUACGAUGGAUCACUGAGAUCUGGAUAUCGUGUAAGUAAAUUAAAGCCUCUCUCUGCAAUCAGCCUACGCAAAUAAAUGAGCAAAUAUAGAAGAAACUAGAUGUUGCAAUUAUGUUUCUAAAUGUUUUCUUUAUUUAUGCAUUCCACAUUCAAGUUACAAUGGCCAGGUAUGGAUGGGCUAAAGGGACCUUUCUUGACGGGUACAGGCCAUUAUAUUAGGAGGGAGUCAUUAUAUGGCAAUUUCAAACAUAAAGGUACCUAGCUCCGUUCAGACUUUCUUACAAAAGACAACUUGAUGUUAAAAAUUCAAAGAAUAUUAUGGCAUUUCCUCCCUUUAAGUUAUGUCUCUUCAUAUAAAACAUUUAGCAUCAAAAUUUAAGCGUCAGCUGUCCUGAAGUCCUAAAAAUUGUGGAAGAAUACAGUUCAUUGAUCGAUAGUGACCUUUUUUAUUUUUAUUUUUUUUGGUUGGGUUUAUUGAACAGGUAUUGACCUUGCAGAACUUAAAGACACUUUUGGAGAAUCCAAUUUGUUCAUCAAAUCCCUCCAUCAAAGCUACGAGCAUAAAAAUGUCAAUGGUGAAAACCUUUCCAACGUAUUGCAGCAGGAGACCGAAGUUUUAGCCUCCUGCAGUUACGAGCAUCAAACAAAAUGGGGUGAAGAGGCAAGCAACAAGCACAUCAACUUAUCAACUUAAAACAUAUUCAAUUCUUAAUUGCAUUAUUAAAUCAUUAUCUCGUAACAUAACAUCACAUCUCUCUUUGCUUUCGAAAUCCAGGUGGGUUUUUCGUAUCAAUCUGUUUCGGAAGAUUUCUUUACAGGAUUCAUCUUACAUUGCAAAGGCUGGACCUCGACAUAUCUUGACCCAUCCAGGCCACAGUUUCUGGGUACUUCGACCACAAAUUUGAAUGAUGUAUUGAUUCAAGGCACCAGAUGGGCCUCUGGGUUGAUUGACGUCAGUAUCUCGAGAUUCUGCCCUCUACUUUACGGACCGUCAAGGAUGUCUUUACUUCUGAGCAUGUGCUAUGGAGAGAUGUCGUUGUUCCCUCUUCUUUAUUGCUUGCCUCUCUGGUGUUUUGCUACUCUUCCUCAGUUGUGUCUGCUAAACGGCAUCCCUCUGUACCCUGAGGUAACAACUAAACCUAACAAUGCCUUACUGAUUAAUUUUUAGAUGUCAUAAUAGACCAUUGUGUUUUCACUUCUGCCACAGGUUUCAAGUCCUUUCUUUAUGGUACUUUCAUUCAUUUUCUUAUCGGCGAUUUGUAAACACUUGCAAGAGGUCAUUUCAACUGGAGGUUCAGUCUAUACAUGGAGAAAUGAGCAGAGAAUUUGGAUGAUAAAGUCUGUCACAUCUCAUUUCUAUGGAAGUAUGGAUGCUAUUAUGAAACUUCUUGGCUUGAGGAAAGCCAGUUUCUUGCCAACCAACAAGGUUUUAGAUAAUGAACAAGUCAAAAGAUAUGAAAUGGGCCAAUUUGAUUUUCAAACAUCCUCUGUGUUUCUUGUUCCUAUGGUUUCUUUGAUGAUUUUGAACGUGGCAGCCUUGGUUUGCGGAGUUAUCAGAAUGAUUGCUGUGGGCAACUGGGACAAGUUGUUUGCGCAAGUGUUGCUCUCACUCUACAUCUUGAUCAUCAAUUUUGCAAUUGUUGAAGGGAUGAUAGUGAGAAAGGACAAGGGAAGAAUUUCGCCAUCAGCCAUUUUAUUAUCAAGCCUAUUUUUUGUGACUUUCUUGUUCUUUGGAUCUAUCAUUCUUAUUUAAUUUUAAGCGAAGUGUAGAGAGUUUCAUUUUAGCUUAAUUACCACAGGCAAAGCAAAUAAUGUAAUUUCUGUGAGAAAAGAUAAUGUUUUCGUAGUCAUAUUCAAAUACUUUAUUUUAUUUUAUUUUAAUAAUUAUAUUUAAACAUACCAAUUAAAAGAAAGUGUUAAGUGAUGCUGAUAUUAUCAUAUCAAAACAUCACAAUCUAUGCAAUUGAUUAAAUUUCGUCACUUAUACUCUUUUAACUAAACAUCAUCUCGGUCAAUAAAAUGAUGUCAAGUCAAACCUCUAUGUUAGGACAAUAUAAUUUGCUAAUAAAAAAAUAUCUAAAAGAGUGACUAUUGCUGUCAAUUAUGCCAUUACUAAAGUUAAAUCAACAAAAUAAGUCUCGUUGUUCAAUUUCCUUUACAUUAUUCUAAUCCAAGAAACUCGAUCAAAAUUUAAUCCCUAUAUAUAAUUAAAAAAAAUCAAAACGCUAAUAAUAUUUACAAUUGGAAGGUUCUCACCAUUAGGUUAGUUGUUUGCGUUACUCCUAUUCAGAGUCAAGGUUGUUUAAGCUCAUUUUAGGUAUUAGAUGUUUUAAGUCCCCUCCUUCCAGACUUGGGAUUCUUAGAAACAACAAAAUAUGAUAAUCUAAUUGAACAUAAAGGAAUCGCUAAAAGAUUAGCCUCUUUUGAAUGGUUUGGUUCUCAAUACAAGAGGUGAAGAAUACCGUAGAUAAUUACUUCAAAAUAGAGUAGAAGGAUCUUAAUAUAAUAAAAAAGUAACGCAGAGUUAUGCUUGCUAUCAUAUUGGGUAGCAAAAGGAUGAUGAUGAAAAUAAUUGGGUAGACACUAGAUAUAUAUAAUAUUUAUUUUUAUAUAAGAGAAAUUAAAGUCGAGUAUGAAAGUUGGAACUGGAAUUGUGGAACAUGUGUCCUCAAAUUGAGGACACAAUUUCUUCCCACCAUUUUUAUACUAAUUAAUUCUUAGACAUUUGAAUAAAGAAAAAUGAUGUUUGAAUAUUAAGAAGACAUAGCAAAGAUAGAAAGAAGAACAUUAUAGUAUGAACAAUAACACCAUUUUUAUUAUGUUUGAAUGCUAGAAUUGAGUAUGAGAUUGGACUAAUUUGGAGAUUAAAUAUUUAUUUUAUAUUUGGCAAGCUGAGUUGGAUUGAAAUAAGAAGGACUAAAUUUAAAUUUAGUCUUAAAAUCAUAGGAUUUGUAAUCCUAAUAUACACAUGGAUUUAGUUGGAAUAAGAUUAAGGAAAAAAGAAAGUUGUCCAUUUAUAACAUUAUUUUUUAUUUAUAUCAAAUAUCAAUCAAUCAAUCAAUUAAUUAAUUUUUUUAUUUAUGAUUUACUUAUUUUAUUUUUUAUUUAUUAUUUAUGAUCUAACUAAAUUGGUACUUUUACUUCUACUAGAUUAAAUUUUCAUUACUUGCAUAUUUAAUAAUUUAUCUAUAAAAUUAACCAUUUAAUAAUUUAUUGCAUUAUUGAUUGUAAUAAAUUUAAUAAUCACUAAUACAAUAUUAAAAAUAAUCAUGAAAUUUAAUAAUACCAUAAAUUAGUUGAUUUUAUACGAUAAUUUUUAAAUAUUUGAUAAAAAAUUAAUUAAAUAUUUAAAUUUUUAUUUCUUCUUUAUUUCUUCAUUAUAUUAUGACUGUCCAUUAACUUAUUUACAAUACAUUUAAUUUUCUUAUUAAUUACUUUUUAAACUUAGUUUAUUUAUUAUUAUAAAAUUUCAUGAAUAAUUGAUAUUUAUAUUUAAAAAUCAACUUAAAUGCUAUUUAUUAUUAUUUAAAUAUAAUUUAACAAAAUUCAAUCAGUACUAGACCAAACAUAAGACAAUAUAAUAUAAUUAAACUUAAUCUAGUCUAAUAUUGAGUUUAAUUUUAAUAAUUAAUUCUACCCAAUCCUGCACAGUAAAUGUAGCCUCAAUAUCUUCUUACUGUUUAAAUAUCAUUACUCUAGAAUAAAUAUUUGCAUAAAAGCUGACGUGAUUCAAUAUUAAAACAUUAGCAUUUUUCAUUUUUCCUUCUAACCUUAUGAAAAACUAUUACCGAAGUUUGAGAAUCCAACAACCUUUAGCAUGGUUUUGGCUAAACCUGCAUGUGUGUACUAAUGACAGUGUCAGGUCACGAGAGGGAAAUUUGUGCUGCUCAAAUAUUUAUGUUGUAUUAUUUGUACUCCCAAAAAAUACCAAAACAUAACGGGACAAAAGUAAUUGGGCAAAAACAAGACACACCUUACUACUGAUUGAUUACCGAAUCACACGUGUUCAGAUGAAUUAGGCAUUUCGGUUCAAUUCAAGUUGCUCCAUCUUUGUUUAUGAGCCAGCCAACAGUACAUUGUUUUGCAUGUAAUAAUAUAAGGAAAAUAUGCAAAAGCUUCAAUCUACUUGAACUGUCGUUAUAUAAUUAAAACAGUAAGCUUUGAACUCUAUUAAUGGAACCUCUGCCUCUUCAUCUUUGCAAACCCUACAAGCUUUCAUCCAUACUCAACCGUUUGUAUUCUUUAAUCCAUGUCACAGCUUUAACAUCACUUAUUUACUACAGGGUUUCUUCUUUAGCAUCAACACCCUUAGCUUCACUGCCCGCUCAGCUUCUAGUCUUUGCCUUGGAGCUGCUUUUGUCUCUUCUUUGGCUUCUAAAUCAAGCUUAUCUGUGGAACCCGGUUUCCCGCAGGGUUUUCCCAGAAAGAUUGCCAGAAAAUGAACAAAAUUUACCCGCUAUCGACGUGUUUAUAUGCACGGCGGAUCCCAAGAAGGAGCCCCCUCUUGAGGUGAUGAAUACAGUUUUGUCGGCUAUGGCACUUGAUUAUCCUUCAAAAAAGCUUCAUGUGUAUCUUUCUGAUGAUGCUGGCUCCGCUUUAACCCUGCUUGCUUUGAGACAGGCUUGUGCUUUUGCUAGCUCUUGGCUUCCUUUCUGUAGGAGGUUUGGUAUUAAGACUAGAUGUCCUAAGGUUUAUUUUUCAAAUUUAAAUGACGAUCAUUGUUUUACUCGGAGUGUGGAGUAUGAAAAAGAAAGAGUGAAUAUCAAGGUUUGAGCUCAUCAUUAAUAACUACAUGUUUGUGCAUUGCGGAUCUAGUGCUCAUCUGAGCUGUGCUGAUCUUUUAUAGAUUUUGUAAUUCGCUUAUAGCAGGCCACAGCUAAAACUUAAAAAAAUCUCUCAAAAGAUCAGCUCUGUAUCCAAAUCCGCAUGGAUUAUGUGUGUCAAGUUUCAUAUUUUUGUUAUGCUAAUGCAGAGGAAGUACGAGUUGUUUAAAGAACACAUUCGGAUAGCAGAGGAAGAAAAAAGCAGCGCGACGGAUAAAAUCAAUCCUUCAAUUGUUGAGGUAUGUGCUGGAGCAUCCUGUUUGUUGCUGCAAAUAUAAAUUAUUAUUACUUAUGUGUUCAAGAAUCAAUACCUUGUAGACUAUUUUGUCAAUUUAGUCAUGAGGAGUAGAGCAUUAGAUGCUACUUGCAUUGACUCAUAAUCGAUUCAGUUCCAUAGUUAUGAAAUAAUUUGGGAUCCUUUUCUUUUCAUUUUUCCAGGUGAUAAUUGAUAAAUCUGAUGAUGAAGUGAGGACUAACCAAGUUGAGAUGCCUCUUCUUGUGUAUGUUUCUCGCGAGAAAAGACCACCUCAUCCACACCAUUUCAAAGCUGGAGCUCUUAAUUGUCUUGUAUUUCUCUGUUCCUCUUGCUUUAUCGCUUUGUUUUCUGAGUUUGUACGGGCUAAUGCUUAUGAAGUAUAAAAAUUUGUAACAUUGACGCAGCUUAGAGUCUCAAGCAUACUCAGUAACUCCCCUUACAUAUUGGUAUUGGACUGUGACAUGUACUGCAAUGACCCAACAUCUGCCAAGCAAGCUAUGUGCUUCCACCUUGAUCCGAAACUGUCUCCCUCGCUGGCCUUUGUUCAGUUCCCUCAGAAAUUCCACAACAUUAGUAGCAAUGACAUUUAUGAUAGCCAGUUGAGAACAACAUUCCAGGUACAUUGGUGAAAUCUUAUCUUUGUAUAACUUUUACAUGAAUCAAUUCCUUAAAUUGGCACCACAUUGCCCAUAAAGUUAUGCACACACCAAAUCAUGGUUCCUAUUCUAAACUUAGACUACAAUUACAAGUACUUCUGCUGUGUGCUCUCACCUGUAGUUAUUUUUCUGGUCUUCAAUUUGGAAAGGUGAUAAUAAUUGUUAAUUCUUGAAUCACGUUUCAGGUAAGAUGGCCAGGUAUGGAUGGAAUUCAGGGACCUAUGCUGUCGGGAACGUGCUUUUACAUGAAGAGAGAAGCAUUAUAUGGAAUUUUUUUGCAGAAAGGUAUGUCCGUUUUCCUUUUUGCUGCAAAUCCGCAUUCUCGGCGAAAGUAGCAUAGCAGUUUAUGUAGACUCUGUACAUUUUUUUUCCCCUUCUGCGUUAGAGGAUUUGGUGGCUAAUUAAAAAGGAACCAGAACAAGAUUACAAUGUGCUACUGCAAGAUUUUUUUAUAUCUGGACCCUAUUUUAAUGAAAAUACGAAUCUUGGCUAAGCAUUGUUCUCAAAUGGAAUGCUAGUGAGAAAAGACAGCUGUUAGGUUCAUCAAGUCAACAAUUCUAUUAAUCUUUGCUAUACAUCAUUGCAUAUAUUUGCAAAUGACUUAGUGACAAAAUCAGUCAACUGUAAAUUGUUAAAAGUGUUUGUGUUUGAUUCAGAGCUACAUCAUCUGAAAGAAUCCUUUGGUCCUUCAAAUGAGUUGAUCAUCUCUCUUCAACGUAGCAACCAACGUAAAACCAUUGGCAAUGGUACCUUGUCUAGCACACUGCAACAAGAAGCACAAUUUUUAGCUUCUUACAACUAUGAGACGAACACUUUGUGGGGAAAACAGGCAAGUAAUAACCUCUGGGAAAACAUUGGGAUGCCGUUAAUAUUAUUAAGCAGAUACUGAUUAUGUCAUUGAAUCUUUGCUUUUGGUUUUAAACCAGAUAGGAUACUUGUACAAAUCUCUGAUAGAAGAUUAUUUUACCGGAUUCAUUUUGCACUGCAAAGGAUGGAAAUCCGUCUUUUGCAAUCCAUCACGGUCAGCAUUCUUAGGAAGUGCUACAUCAAGUUUGAAUGACACAUUGGUUCAAGGCACAAGAUGGAACUGCGGUUUGCUUGAAGUCACCUUCUCAAAGUGCUCCCCUCCUCUUUAUGGGCUAUCAAGAAUGCCUUUGCUUCAAACAAUGUGCUAUAGCUACUAUGCUUUGCAGCCAUUCUAUUCCUUGCCGUUGUGGUGUUUAGCUUCUGUGCCUCAGCUGUGUCUCAUAAAUGGAAUUUCCUUGUACCCAAAGGUAACCAUUUCUAAAACGAGAUUGGGAGGCAAUUUGGAGAUGCUUUGUCUUAUUGAUAGGUCUAAAACAUUGUAACUAUUUAUUUCUCUUCUACUCAGGUUUCAAGUCCAUGGUUUGUGAUCUUUUCAUCUAUUUUCUUAUGUUCACUACUGAAACAUUUGGUGGACGUUCUCGUCACCGGUGGUUCAGUCCAGACGUGGUGUAAUGAACAGAGGAUUUGGAUGAUAAAAUCACUCACUUGCUACACCUAUGGAACUAUAGAUGCCAUCUUGAAAUGUUUUGGAAUGAAACAACCAUGUUUCUCGCCCACAAAUAAAGUUUCCGAUGAUGAACAAGCCAAGUUACAUCAACUGGGUAAAUUCAACUUUCAAAUCCCAACCAAGUUUCUUGCUCCUUUAGUUUCCUUAAGUCAUUUUGAGUAUGAUUGCUUUUACUGGAGGAAUUACUAGAAUGGUGAUUUCGGGGGGCGCAAACGAGUUGCUUGGACAAGUUAUCCUCUCAUUUUACAUCUUACUGGAGAGUUACCCAAUAAUUGAAGGGAUGGCAUGGAGGAAGGAUACAGGGCUAGUCCCAGCUUCUGUUGCGUUACUCUCUUUUGUUCUCUCCAUCAUUUUCUUGCUUUUGGGUUCCGUGGUUCUCAGGUUAAUUUGAAUUGUGCUAGAGGUUCAGAAUAAAAGCGAAAGGUCACAAUUAUGUGCUUCAUUUUUGAAAUAGUUAAUGCCCCCAUUAACUUCUUAUUGCUUUCAAAUGAUGCCGAUAAAGGCAACAGCCCUGUUUCACAGGAUGACCUAAUAAGAACAAAAUUGCAAAAUACUGGCACCUAUUGCUUAAUUGAAGGUCCUUGCGCUUGUUCAUGACACACUUAAGCUCAUUGACUGGGGGCACAAGAAAUUUCGAUACCUUGCAUAUCACCACUUAAUUUUGUUAAUUCAAAUUAAUUCUUGUUCCUUAUGCUGAAGUGCAAACGAUUUAUAUUAACCAUUCAAUCAUUUUUCAUCUCUAAUUAAACCAUUUCACCAUUUCAUUUGGAAACAAUUUCACUUUAUAUUAACACCAAGUGCCCUUUUUUAUUCAAUUGAAUAUGCCACUCACAAUGCCCUUUCGUAAACAACCCAAUGCCCGAAAGAUUACAUCUCUCCUUGCUUCCAACGGAUUGCAGCAAGAGACCGAAGUUUUAGCCUCCUUACGAGCAUCAAACAAAAUGGGGUAAAGAGGCAAGCAACAAGCACAUCAUCUUAUCAACUUAAACAUAGUCAAGUCUUAAUUGCAUUACUAAAUCAUUAUCACAUGCCAUCACAUUACAUCUCUCCUUGCUUUCGAAAUCAGGUGGGUUUUUCGUAUCAAGCUGUUUCGGAAGAUUUCUUUAUAGGAUUCUGUAAGAGAGAUUGUAUCAUUUUUUAAGUUUGAAAUUUUGGAAGAAAACGGCUAUUGAAAUACUUCAUUUUAUUUUAUUUUAUUUUAAUAAUUAUGUUUAAACAUACCAAUUAAAAGAAAGUGUUAAGUGAUGCUAAUAUUAUCAUAUCGAAACAUCACGAUCUAUGCAAUUUAUUAAAUUUCAUCACUCAUACUCUUAAACUAAAUAUCAUCUCGGUCAAUAAAAUGAUGUCAAGUUAAACCUCUAUCUAUGUUAGGACAAUACAAUUUGUUAAUAUGGAAGAUCUAAAAGAGUGACGAUUGCUAUCAAUUAUGCCAUUACUGAAGUUAAAUCAUCAAAAGAAGUCUCGUUGUUCAAUUCCCUUUUCAUUAUUCUAAUCUAAGAAGCUCGAUCAAAAUUUAAUCCCUAUAUAUAAUAAAAAUAAAUCAAAAGUCUUAACAAAAUUUACAAUUGUAAGGUUCUCACGAUUAGGUUAGUCGUUUGUGUUACUCUUGUUCAGAACCUAAGGUCGUUUAAGCUUAUUUUAGGUAUAAGAUGUUUUAAGUCCCCUCCUUCCAGACUUGGGAAUCUUAGAAACAACAAAAUAUGAUAAUAUAAUUGAAAAUAAGGGAAUUGCUAAAAGAUUAGCCUCUUUUGAAUGGUUUGGUUCUCAAUACAAGAUGUGAAGAAUACCGUGGAUAAUUAUUUCAAAAUAGAGUGGAAGGGUCUGAAUAUAAUAAAAAAGUAACGCAAAGUUAUGCUUGCUACCAUAUUGGGUAGCAAAAGGAUGAUAACGAAAAUAUUUGGAUAGACACUAGAUAUAUAUGAUAUUUAUUCCUAUAUAAGAGACAAUUAAGUCUAGUAUGAAAGUUGGAACUGUAACUAUGGAACAUACAUGUGCCCUCAAAUUGAGGGCACAAUUUCUUACCACCAUUUUUAUCUUAGACAUUUGAAUAAAGAAAAAUUGUAUUUGAGUAUUAAGAAGACAUUGCAAAGAUAGAAAGGACAGCGUUAUAGCAUGAACAAUAACACUGUUUUUAUCUUCAUAGGCCAUGUUUGAAUGCUAGAAUUAAGUAAGAGAUUGAACUAAUUUUGAAAUUAAAUAUUUAUUUCAUAUUUGGCAAGCUGAGUUGGAUUGAACUAAGGAGGACUAAAUUUAAAUUUAGUCUUAAAAUCAUGGGAUUUGUAAUCUUAAUAUACUCAUGGAUUUAUUGGAAUAAAAUUAAGGGAAAAAAAGUUGUCCAUUUAUAAGAGUUUCAUUCAUAACAUUAUUUUUAUUUAUACCGAAUAUCAAUCAAUCAAUAAAAUAAUUAAUUAAUUUUUUAUUUAUGAUUUACUUAAAAUUUAUACCGAAUAUCAAUCAAUCAAUAAAAUAAUUAAUUAAUUUUUUAUUUAUGAUCUACUAGAUUAAAUUUUCAUUACUUGCAUCUAUGAUCUAAUUAAAUUGGUACUUUUACUUCUACUAGAUUAAAUUUUCAUUACUUGCAUAUUUAAUAAUUUUUCUAUAAAAUUAACCACUUAAUAAUUUGUUGCAUUAUUGAUUGUAAUAAAUUUAAUAGUCACUAAUACAAUAUUAAAUUGAUGUUUUCACACUUUUCGUAGAUAAAUUAAAAAUUGUCUCAUGGUUUUGAUGAUGGCUUUCCUCAGUAGAUUAAUUUAUUAUUUAGUUUGCUUUUGAGUUUUAGUAUUUUUAAGUCUUUGUAGCUAAUUGACGUUCGCAAUAGAACUAGCAAUAAAUUAAACUAUUUAACAGAAAGAAGCAUAUCCUAUAAAAAAAAAAACAGAAAGAAGCAUAUAGUAUUCACAUCUUUAUCAAAUAUCAGAAUAAAUAAAUUAUUGUGGCGUAAAACUUCUGUACAAUUUCCAUCCAUCUUUUUCCUAAUCAAUAAUCACAAUGGACCAUGCAAAGAUUGAAAAGAAGCAACUUACUUCAAGAAUCUAGUACAAAAACUUGGGACAAAACAAAAUAAUUAUAAGAAUUCUAGAUAAGUUUAUAAUAUUGAGUUACAAUGUUUAUAACAAAAACACUUUAUUAUAUGGAAGUGGCAUAACUUAAAAGCACAUUUGUCAAACCAUCGAGAUUGCAAUAAUAAAAUACAUAAAGAUUAAAGUGGCAUUCAUACAAAGAUUCAUAAAAUUAAACAAUGACAGCCCUCUUUCAUGGAAUCUCGGGAGGAUGAAAACUGACUUUCGAAUUUCUUUGACUUUAGUUCGAAGUUCGGAUCCGGCGACUUCGGCAACGGCUCCGGCGGCGACGGCCACGGCGGCGUCGGCCACNNNNN
rnacentral:lncRNA from 1 species